UUUUUUUUUUUUUUUUGUCAAAGACACGUCAGAUAUAAUUCAAUUAUGCCUUUGAAAUAAGAAGUUUAUUGUGCAUUAUAAUCAGAUGCAUGUUUUGUUAUGGCCACGUUAUUGUGGAUUUAAAAUAAAAUUAAAAUUGAUUGUGCAUUAAAACUAGAUGCAUGUUUUCUACCAAUAUGGGCAUAAGGCCAUCUCCAACAGAAAGGUCCAGAGGGCCAGAGGGUUGAAAAUAGCCCUAAAACCGUCUCCAACCAAGGACUAGGUCAGAGGGCUCAGGAAUCUGGGAGGGUCCCACGGAAUUUCAAAGGGCCAAAGGGCCAAAGGGCUGGCUGCUUUCAGCCAGCCAGCCAGCCCGAGGCUGACUAUUUUUUUUUGUUAAUGUUUUGUUAUUCCUGUCGGUUAUAACCGACAAGAUUAUUAAGAAAAAAUUCAAAUGAAACGGCUACUAGCCGUUACAUUUGAUUUGAUUUUUUUUUUUACAUUAUUAUUAUUAUUUUUUAUUUACAAAAAUUUUCAUAUAACUUCUAUUUCACAAAAUUUGUUUCAUAUUUUUUUUAAAUUCCAUUUUUUUCCGAUAACUUCUAUUUCACAAAAUUUGUUUCAUAUUUUUUUUUUUUAAUUCUUUUUUUUUUCCUAUAACUUCAUAAGCCAUUAUACAACAUUAAAUUAAAUUAAGUAACAUGAAACAACAUUAAACAAUAUGAAACAAUAUUAAAUAACAUUAACCAACAUAAAAAUUAUACAACAUGAAACUUAAACAACAUUUUUAAAAACAUAAAACGUAAAUGCCUACUCCAUACUUCUUUGGGCCCAAAGAUGUGCAACAAGAUCUUGUUGUAAGUACUUGUUUGUGGCACGAGAACGUAUCAUUCUAUAGCGCCUCAUGUACUCAUCUAUAGAGAUACUACCAGUUCUUGGAUUGAAAGGCAAAUUAGGCUCAUCAUAUAUUUUUGGACGAGCCCUUCUUGACCUAUUUGGAUCUUCUUGGUCGUCAUCGGACUCUCCAUCAAUAUACCCAUCUCGCUCAUCCUCCACUAUCAUAUUGUGUAAUAUGAUGCAAGACAUCAUGAUGGAGUCCAAAUUUUCUCGACUCCACCCUCUUGCCGGUUCGCUGAUGAUCUUUCACCUUGUAGAAUACCAAAAGCUCUCUCAACAUCUUUCCGAUAUGCCUCUUGGUGUAAGGUAAACAACUUUUCCGCGUCAUUCCUAGGGUUUGGAAUUGCUUGGACAAGAGUCGCCCACUUUGGGUAGAUACCAUCUGCCAAGUAAUACUCCAUAUUGUAUUGACGGUCGUUGAUGUAGUAGUCAAGUUGAGGUGCUUUACCUUCCGUCAAGUUAUUGAAGAUGGGUGAACGCCCAAGAACUGUAAUGUCAUUUUGGGAUCCAUGGACUCCAAAGAAAGCAUGCCAGAUCCAUGUGUCAUAUAAGGCAACCGCCUCUAACACAACAGUUAGCUUUCUCGACCUUCCGCUAAAGCCCCCUUGCCAUUCGGUAGGGCAGUUCUUCCAAUCCCAAUGCAUGCAGUCAUGCUCCGAAACCCACGCUCUUCAGCUUUGUGAAUGAGUCAAUUCAGAUCUUCUUGAUUUGGCUGGCGGAAGUACUCGUCUUUGUAAAGCUAAACAAUUGUGUUACAAAAUUCUUAAAGAGUAUCAAGGCAUGUAGACUCAGGCAUACCAUGGGUUUCAUCUAUCGAAUAAGCUGGGGAGCCAUAGGCCAUUAUUCGGAGUGCAACAGUAACCUUCUGAUGAGGUGAGAAACUAGGGCGGCCUGCUCUGUCCCACUUCUGUCGAAAGUACGGAUUGACCUGCUGGACAUCACAAAGUAAAUGCUCAAAGACAUGACGCCUCAUCCGGAAGCGACGUCUGAAAUCCUCUUCUGUGUACACCGAGUUAGGGUCGAAGUAGUUGUUCAUCAGAUUAUCAUGCGUCAUCGCUCUGUUUCAUGGUUUGUAAAAGCGACCAGCAAUAGAGCCACCCCAUUGAGGUUGUUCCUCAGUUGGCUGACACACCAUAGCCGCAGCCAUGGCUACUGCUAUGUUUUGUUUAUUGCGCCUUACUUGAAAUUCUUCAUCAGACUUCUCAUCUUCUCGUCUCAUUUGCACCCAUUUUGCUUCUCUUUUGGAAUUGGAUGAGGACCCCCAAUUGGAAUUUGAAGAGGAUCCAAAGUUGGAAUUCAUUGCAAACUUGAAUUGAAAGAGAUUGAAUUUAAAUAGAUUGAAUUCAAAGUUGUGUGAAUUAUAUCCCAAUAUCCACCCUAUUUAUAGCAAAAAAAAUAUUCAAAUCCAACGGCUAGCUGACGUCACUUAGCCAUUGGAUUUGAAUUUAAGUUGUAGUUUUUAAAUAAUAAAUUGUGUUUGGCCUUAUGGCCCUUUGGCCCUCUGUUGGAGACAGUUUUUUGUGAAAUGGCUAAAACGAGCCAUCUGGCCCUUCUAGCCCUCGGUUGGAGACGAAGGCAAAAAUGGUCAUGUAUUGUUCAUUAAAAUAUUAAUAUCUUGGAGAAUAUUGGAGGGCCAGAAGGCUAAAACGAGCUCUCUGGCCAGCCAUCGGUUGGAGAUGGCCUAAUAUCUCACUAUUAAUCCAAGGAAUUUUGCCUCUAUACAUCAGUAAUUUGUAAGUGAAAAGAUGGCAAUAUUACUGGAAUUUUACUCAUCAAUUUCAUCAUGGCCUUUGUAUUCUUGCAGUCUGUGUUGCUACUUAUUGGGCUUUUGGUAUUAAGCGUUAUAAAAAAUAAAUAAAAAAUAAAAAAACAGGUACAUCACUAUACAUUUCAGGGUUGCCAUAUGACAUUAUGUUUUGUAUUUUAUGUUAGAAACGAAGUUACAUAUUUACUCCAUUUCUGUUAAACGUGAUCAGGGGAGAUUGAUGGAAAUAUAGCAUCAGAAUUACUCUCUUCUAUUCAAAUCAUUCAAUUUAUUUUUCAUUUUUCAGCUUUUUUUUUUCUCUUUGAAGUUUAUCUCUCAAGUUUAUUCGAAGGUAAGUUGUUCUUCUGGUUUUAUUAUUUUUUUUUUCUCAAGUUUCUAUUCCUAUUUAGAUUUUUGAACGAGUUGUGUGUUUUUGAAUUUUUUUUCGGUUUAGAUUGUGAAACGAGUCUCUGAUUUUUUUAGUUUUUUAUUGUUCCCAUUGAGGUUUUUUUUUUAUAGAUUUUCCUUUUUGCAAGCACACUUUUUAGUUUUUGACGAUUUUGAUUUAAUUUUUUGUAAUCGAGUGUUUGGUGAAAGUGAUUUUUCGUUGUGCCACUUUGUUUUUCAUUGAGUUCCGUUUGUUUUUUGCUGUUUAGUUUGUUGAUGCACAAAACCGGAAGUCUUGGAACAACGUAAAUCCAACAGUGAAUCUGCAAGUAAUGUAAAUAACACAAGAUGUAUCGUGAUCCACCCUAAGGUUUGGGCUACGUCCACACUGAUAUUGUAUUUCUGAGGCAGAGAGAGCUCUGAGAGUGAGAGCUUUGAGAGGGGGUGAGAGGGCCUAGGAAUUAGCCUCUGAAUUGGCCUCCCUCAAUUGUGAGGGUGAGAGGUCUUUUUAUAGAAUAAGGACUCCUCACUUAUUACAUAUUUGCCUCUUCCUUUAUCACAUAAUUACAUUUAAGUCCCCCGAGUAUUUGCACGAUAUCUAAAUACGAGGCCCUACAUAUUGUAUAAACAAUAGUCCCCAAGUCUUCAGUCAAGAGAGUCUUUUGGCUGGAGACUUGAAAUUCAGUCCAUGUGUGGGCCGAAGUAACUAGAUGUUGUCUUGAAUUGAUGUUCAAUAUGAGGCGGUGCUCAAUCUGAAAUGAUGCUCAACUAGAAGUAGCACAUGCUGCGAGACUGCUCGGCUCGUGGCUUAUGUUGCCUUGGUUGGCUCGGCUUGUGGUGUUUGAAGGUGAGGGAGUCCCUUUUAUAGAAUAAGGGCUCAGUCCUCAAUACAUGAAUGAUGGGCUAGAGUUGAUGCUCUCUAAUGAAAGUGAGGGAGUCCUUUUUAUAGAAUAAAGGCUUGAUCCUUAAUACAUAAAUAAUGGGCUAAGUCCCCCAAGUAUUUUUCAUGAGGCCCAGUUAAGGCCCAAUAUAUGGUACAUAAUGUAGUCCUCCAAGUCUUCAGUCAAUAGAGUAUGUUGGCUGGAGGCUUCAAAUUGAAUCUAUGUAUGGGCCGAAGUGACGGUUGUUCAGAGGCAGUAUUUGUAUACCUUGCACUGAAGCUUUGUAGGUGAAGCUUUGUAGGUGAAGCUUUGCAAUUGAAGCUUUGAAGCUAGAGCUCUGUAAAUUAAUCUUUCAAAGCUGGAGCUUUUGUAAAUGAAGUUUUUGAAGCUAGAGCUCUGUAAAUGAAGUUUUUGAAGCUAGAGCUUUUGUAAAUUAAGCUUUUGAAACUGAUUGACAUGAGUGAUGCUCAUGAAUGUUUAUGUUGAUUGACAUAAGUAAUGCUCAUGGAUGUUGUCAUGAGUGAUGCUCAUGAAUGUUAACAUGAGUGAUGCUCAUGAAUGUUGACAUGAAUGAUGGUCAUGAAUGUUUAUGUAUGAUUUUCAUGAGUGAUGCUUAUGAAUGUUUAUGUAUGAAUGACAUGAGUAAUGCUUAUGUAUAAUUUGGAGUACUGGGCGUACUUUUGAUCACCUGGUUGGUGGCAUGAAGGAGAGUACGGGUUGUACAUUUCAUCACCUAGUUGGUGGCAUGAAUGGCUAGUUGCCAAAUGAUAUUAGAGUACGGGUUGUACGUUUCAUCACCUGGUUGGUGGUAAUAGCGGCAAGUUGCCGAAUAAUUGUGGAGUACUAGGCGUACUUUUGAUCGCCGGGUUUGAGCUAAUAGUGGCAGGUUGCCGAAUAAUUGUGGAGUAUUAGGUGUAUUUUUUAUCGCCUGGUUGGAGCUAUUUUGGGCUUAUGGGCCCUCGCCCUCUACACAACAUUCCAGCCUAUUUAUUUUGGGCUUUGCCGUGUUUUUUUUUUUUUCUUACCCUCUGAUUUUUACAGAUGUCUCCUAAAGAUAAGAAAAAUAAAUUACAUCAAUCAAAAACAAGAAAAGUAAGUCUCAUCAUUCUGGUGGGGUGUUUAUUCCUUGUUUUUGCUUUCUGCUUUUUCUUUUCUCUUUCUCUUUUGCUUUCUCUUUUGCACCGCACUCUUUCAGUCUCUGUCUCUGUUUUGCAUGUGCACCCAAGAUCAUCUUUUGCUUUUCUCAGAAAAUGAUUUCACAUGGCUGUGACUGCUCAUUCCUUUCAUGAGAACAGCCGGUGGGCUCCAUCAAUUAUGUCCUGCUACCUGUAAAUUUCAUCAUCAUUUCACAUGAGAGAAGAAUCAAGCAUUGACAUUCUUCUCCGCAGGAGAUGCCUCUGUACUGCCAGUUUUUUUUUUUGUUUGCUUGGCUUGAUAGUCUUUAACAACUGCCUUAAUGGCAUCCUCGGCGAGCAUGCUGCAGUGACGCUUCACUGGAGGAAACGAAAGAUGUUUUGCAAUCUAUGUGUUCUUAAUCGUAAAGACUUCCUCCAUUUGUUUCCCCUUCACCCAUUCCGUAGAGACAGAAGAAGAAGCAAUGGCCGAUCCACACCCAAAGGUCUUGAAGCAAGCAUCAUCAAUCUUUCUCGUGCUAUCAUCGACCUUAAUCUGGAGCUUCAUCACGUCGCCACAGGCUGGAGCGCCAACGAGCCUCGUGCCAAUCGUCGGGUCAUUGUUGUCGAACGUUCUAACAUUGUGGUAGUUUCUCUAAACCUUGUCCUGUAAUUGCUUAGCCUUGUCCCUAGCGCCAGCGCCGUUGAGUCCUGAUCGCGGUGAACCCGCGUCCCUAUGUACUCGGCCAAACAUCUCUUAGUCCUCCUGAUCGUGCCAGCGCCGUUCAUACCCUUUGCUUUUCUAGCAAUCUUGAGGAUCUCUAGCCUGUGUUUGGCUAUGGAAAUUCCCGUGCUUUGAAGAAACUUAUGGUUGAAGUAGAAAAUGUCCUCGUCUUCUAGCCCAUUGUGUGUAAAAGCAAGGCUGUAUUCGUACACAAGCGACGGCUCUAGGCUGGUUUAACAACCAUGAGAACCAGUCCAUGUAUUCCAAUGAUGGAGGACAACAUGCAUUGCAACAGCCUGCUGGGAGAAGUUGGACGAUGGGGGUAUUGCCAGUGGUGGUCUUCGUGAGUUACUGCCAUGCAUUGCAAAUCACGUGCAGUUGGCAUGGAUCUCACUCUGUGACAUGGAUCUCGCUCCACCAUCAUUGGAUCCUCAUUAAGAAGAAAGGGUGGUGUUUGAAGCGGACCUAGGGCGGCGAGCCCAGAGAGAAGCGAGGUUGCAGUUGGCACGGCCAGUAUGUGUUUGUUCUGAGUUUGGCUUUGGAUCUUGGGUUUUUGCAGACUCACGGUGGAAGUGAAAAAAAUGAAAGAUAACUGACACAGCUUUUCGUGUCGUUUCCCACAGACGGCGCCAAAUGUUGAUGCACAAAACCGGAGGUCUUGGAACAACGUAAAUCCGACCCUGAAUCUGCAAGUAAUGUAAAUAACACAAGAUGUAUUGUGGUUCAUCCCAAGGUUUGGGCUACGUCCACACUGAUAUUGUAUUUCUAAGGGAGAGAGAGGUCUGAGAGUGAGAGCUUUGAGAGGGGGUGAAAAGGCCUAAGAAUUAGCCUCUGAAAUGGCCUCCCUCAAUUGUGAGGGUGAAGGGUCCUUUUAUAGAAUAAGGACUCCUCACUUAUUACAUAUUUGCCCCUUCCUUUUAUCACAUAAUUACAUUUAAGUCCCCCGAGUAUUUGUACGAAAUCUAAAUACGAGGGCCUAAAUAUGGUAUAAACAUAGUUAUUAUGUAUAUUUGUUAAAAUGGCAAUCGUUUAUGAAUUAGUUUUAUUUAGAAUUGAAACUUUUUUAUUAAUAUUUGUGCAGCAUCAGUUUUGCAAAGUCAUGCAAAACUAUUUGGCAUUAGUUUAUUAAAAAGACAGUGGAUUAUUAAUGAAUUUUUUAAUUUUAGUUAGAAUAAGUUUUUUUUUGGGGGGGGUAAACAUUUGAGAAUUGUGACCAUUUUGAUUGUGAUUUGUGCCGCAUCAGUUUUAUAGAAUCUUUAAAGAAUUUCAGCUCUAUAAACCUUUGUGCAGAAUACUUUUGAUUAGCAUUUUGUGUAGCAUCAGUGUUACAAAAUCUUUGUGCAGCAUCAGUUUUUAUUACUUUUUUAUUAUUGUGCAGCAUCAAUUUUACAUAAUCUUUUAAGAGCUUCAUCAUUUGAAACAAUUGUGCAACAUAAUUUUUUAUUCAUUAUUAUAUUAUUUUUAAAAUGCAUGUAUAUAUCUAAUUAUCUAUGUGCAUAAUCAUUUUUAUGCAUAAUCAUUGUGUAAUUGACACACCCCGACCAAGAUCAAGGCAUGAUGGCUGUCACGUGAGAGUCACGUAGCCAUGUGCACAGUGCGAAAGCAAUAAAGAUAAGGAUUAUACGAAUAAUUAAAAACCGAGUUACUAGAGUGCGCUACUGAUAGGAGUUAGUUACAACAGUAAACACUCCUAAGCAGAGCAUAUUAAGUCUAGGUGCAGUCCAGUAGGACAAGUACUAAUUAUACAGUACCAGGAAUGUCCUACUAUUAUUUAGAUAGGUUAGAACCGCCGACAUUCUCAAGCCUCCAACAGCAAGCUUACUUAAAACCUGGAGGGGCGCAAAACAGAAAACGUGAGUGGGCAAAAACAAAUGUUUUACAAAAUCAUUUUCUUUAUCAACAUAUCUAACCCCUCGCUGUAAAACAUGAAUAAUUUUCCCAGAAUCAAGAUAUAAGCAUAUAUAUAUAUAUAUAUAUAUAUAUCUCUCUCAAAUCAUAACAAUUCAAUUCAUGCUUCACAUAAUCAUAUUCAAAUAUCUGUCAUGCCAAUAUAUAACAGAGUAAACAAUUCAGGUAAGAAUAAAUUCAUAGAAAUAUGAUAUGUUAGCCGGAACCCCUGUGGUAGUCUGUACGGCUGAAUUCAUAACUCAAAAGUCAAUCUAGCCGGAGUCACUACAGUGACCUAUACGACAAUAUACUGUACAUAAGUCGGAACCACUAAAAAGGUAUGUACGACAAGAUUGGGUGUAAUAUAGUUAUGCUCAAUUUUACUCUCUCAUAAUAACCGGGCGAUAAAUCGCUAGUCACCUACAAGUCGGAACCAUAAAUAAGGUAUAUACGACAAGACUGUGCACUUAAGUUGGAUCCAAUAUGAGCAUACAGUGCAAGAGGUGACGUAAAUAAACAGGCUUGUACUUCAUAUCUCUGACUAAAUCAUAAUCACCCUAGGUGUAGUUUUAUGAGCUCAACUUUAUUCAAUCACAUAUCACAUCAUCAAUGAUUCACAUAAUCAAACAUAACUUACCUGAACUUACCUGUGCCUCCACAGCACCGCAUUUAUAUAUAUGCAACCAUGAAAUGCAUAUUCAGAAUAUAAAAGCAUUUGGCAUAUUAUUUCAAAGCAUACUUUCCUUAAAAAAAAUGCAUUUCUGGGAAAUAUAUCAAUUAUAUAAAUAUAUAUUGAAAACAAAAGCCCACUCACUGGUAUGUCGACGGGUCUAACCCCUGAGUCGCCAGUGGAUACGCUCGUCCUCAGGAUAAGUCUCACCUGUAUGCGAAUUAACUAUAAAAACGUUAUUUUAAAGCACAUAGACAAAAUUAGCUAUUAACCUCUCAUACAUUGCUCAAAAUUGGUAUAUGAAUUAUACCAUAGUGACCUACACAACCUCAUGAUCAUCCCUAAAUUUUUAGAAUAUUUUUUCGAGCUCCCACGCGUUGCCACGCACCGGCAAGGGGACGGCAAAACGUGCCAGCCACGCGCGGCCACGUGCCUAGCACGCUUAACGGAACAGAAACAGCGUUAGGAAUAUUCCCCGGAAUAUUCCGUUAAAACCCAACGGUAACCGUCCAAACUAACUAACGGCGUCAGCAUAUUCUGUCCAAACUGACGGAAUAUUUUGUCUUCGUCCCCGACGAGUCGCCAGUCGCCGGAAAACUGGGUAAAACUUUAAACUCACUAAUCUCACUCGUUUUUCAACCAUUUUUCAUGAAAUUUAAACCAUAUGAAAGCUUACAGUGCGAAGAAUGGCAUUUUACCUAUUUAAAGCUUCCAAUCUCACGAAAUCACGUCAAGGAAGCUUCAAAAUUCUGACCAAAACUGCAACUCAAUGCUUCUCAUGAUCCCGACGUCCAAAUUCCUCAAACGAACUACCCCGAGACUCAUGAGGACCUCAUUAAGCUUCCUAUAAGCUUAGAUUUCCCUAAAACACAAGGUUUUACGUGAGUAUGAAUAGUGCAUGAAGAUUGGGUUACAGGUUCACGUGUUUUCGAAUGAUUCCUUCCCUGAAAUUGGUGUCAAACGAUUCGUAGCAUCACAAGGAACACAAUGGUGACAAUUUCACCCUCGAUUUGCAAGGUUUAGGGUGAGUUGUGCCGCUUUAAUCGCACACUAGUUAUGAAGAUUUAUGUGGGCAAUUAACUUUUAGGUUUCCAAGUUUGUCAUCAGGAGGUUUUUUGUUAAAUACUCAACAUACGGAGGUGAACCUAACUGUUUAUUACAGUACAAUGAGAUAUUCAAAACCUUCUAUUGGUGAAUAAUGUGAUUUCUAGUCCAGUUGUUGAAGUUUAUGUUCAUGCUAAAAAGGAGAUGUAUAUUGUUUAUACUUGGUGUUUGUGUUAAGGGAUUCUGAUGGUGAAAACCAAUGUUGUUCCUUGGUGGAACGUUUUUUAAGGAAAGAUGUACUGGUACUCUUUUUUGUUGUUGUGCUAAAAAUGCAAAUAAUGGUAAGUUUUUUUUAAAUGUGAUAAAUUACAGAUUUGUGAUAUUAUUUGAAUUUCAAUAUUUAUUUAUUUGCAAAAUAAGUUUAUUCUUUUGUGUAGAUUUGUUUAUUAAAGUGCAUUAUCAGUUUAUUAAUGUGCAAUGGAUUAGGAACCAAUUAAUGAAUUAUGAAUCAAUUUAUGGGUGGUUGGGGGUGGAAAGGGGUUAGGUGCCCCCCAUAAACUGUUAAGAAUUUUUAACUUUUGAUUAGCAUUUGUGUAGCAUAUAUUUUACAAAAACUUUUAAGAUUUCAGUUUUUAUAAACCUUUGUACAUAACCAGUUUUACAUAAACAAACCCCACUCCCUUCCCCCUCCCCCCUCCUUUAAUAAACUUAUUAAGAAAUUUCAACUUUGGUGGAUUAUGAAUUAGCUUACUCUUAUGUAUAUAUUUGUUUAUUAAUGUGCGCAUCAGUUUAUUGAUGUGCACAACCAAUUUUGUUUGUUUUUAUACAACGAUUUUUCAUGUGUGUUAUGGUAUUGUUGACAUAGAAACUGAAGAAAAUUGAAUGUGGUUUGUUAAACAUUUAACUCGGAUAUUAAAUUAUCAAAGAAGGAAGAUCACGUUCAUUACUGACUGAUAUCAUGGGCUUUUGAAUUCUAUUUGGAAGUACUUUUCUACUACUACUCGUGGUUUAUGCAUUAUACAUUUGAGAGAAAAUUUAGAGAAGCGAUGUGCAGGUAAUAAGUUUUUGAAUGAUCAGUUGAGUGAGUAUUUCAAAAAUUGUGCAUAUGCAUGCAAUGUUGAAGAUUUUGACAAAAAUAUUGAGGAAAUGAGAAGUGUUGGCAGAAAUAUUUCUUAUUCAUUUUUAGAUGAUCUUCCUAAAGAGCAUUAUUAUAUUAUACACAUAAGGAAAAUCGGUGGGGCAAAAUGAGUAAAAUGCAACUGCAAAAUCAUUUAACAUAAUGAUUUCUGAUGAAUGUCGCAUGCCUAUUCUUGAUUUGAUUGAAUCAAUUAGAGGAAAGUUGAUGGUCAUGAUGUUUGAUAGGAGAUGUGUUUCAGAAAAGUGGUUUUAUCUAUUAUAUCAUAAAAAAGAAGAUGAUCUUAGACGUUUUGUUUGAGAAGGUAGUCAUUGGAUUGCUAGUAGAUCCUCUGAUGAUGUAUUUGAGGUUCGGGGGAUAAGAACUCUUUUGUUGUUAUAUUGGAUCAACAUCAGUGUUCAUGUGUUCAAUGAAAGCAUAAAGGAUUUCCUUGUGCUCAUGCUAUGCAAGUUAUUUUGCAUGAUCAUCGUGAUAUUGAGGAUGACUACUGAAAAGUUUCUUCGUAUAAGCUAAGUUAUCAAUUUCAUAUCAUUCCAGUUUCUGACUUGAACAAGCCCACUUUUGAUCCAAUAAGUGCUCCUGUUAAGCUUCCUCUUACAAGGAGGCAAGGUACAAGACCACAUAUUCAUCAUUACAAGUCUAAAAAUGAGAUAAGAGAUGUAAGAUGUAGUCGUUGUCAUCAGACUUCCCACCACAACAAGAAGACAUGUCAGGCUUUAAUUUGAUUUUAUUUUAUUUUAUUUUAUUUUAUUUGGUUUUGAUUUAUAUUAUUUUUGGAUGUUUGUUAUUAGAUCAGUUUUCGUUAUUUUUGUGUGGAAUCAGUUGUUAUUUUUAUGCAAAAUCAAGUUAUUGUUUUGUGCAAAAUCAACACAUUCUUGUGUAGAAUUAGUUUAUUACUAUUUGUGUUGUAUCAUUUUUUUUUUGCCUUAUUUGCAAUUUUUCUUUUUCCAUUUUAUGAAGAAGCAUUAUAGCAUUAUAAACUGUAAAAAGAUAAUGAAAUCUUUUUCAUUUUCAUUUUUUUUAAGCUUUGUUAUUUCAUUGUGCAGAAUAACUUUAUUACCUUAUUGCAAUUUUUUGGUUUUGCAAUUUGUGAAGAAUCAAUUUAGCAUUAAAUUCAUGUUUUUUUAACAUGGAGUGAUUGGAAAGGCAGUAAGAAGCUUCCUAUUCCCAAUUUUGCAAAUUUUUUAUAAUGGAGAAAAUGAAUAUAUAGAUUGAAAAAGCUAUGUAACAUUUGCAAAAAAAUUUCUUCUUCCCAUUUUUUUCUUUUGUUGCUCCAACAUAUUGUUCUUCUUCUCCAAUUCAUUUUUCCCUUUUUCCAUGUCUUUCUUCUCUUUUUCUAACGUCUUGUUUUGUUUUUUCAAGUCAUAAUUCUCUUUUUCCAAAGCAUCAUUCUCUUCAACAAUGUUCUCAAUCACAGAGUUUUUGAAGUGACAUGUGUUGAUAUCAUUAUUCAACAUCUGAAGCCAUAGUUUCACCCUCUUUUUCCAAUACUUUGCAGGAUCUAUUUGGCUUUGCAAGAGCUCUUCUUGCGUUAAUUCAUCCUUUGAAUUUUCACAUUUCCAUUUUUCUUCACCCUUAAGUGGAACAAGAAGCCAUUAAUAGCAUGUUUGUUGCUUCAUUGUCUUGAUUACCGACUCCUUGGGGUAAACUCGCAGUUGAAUUGAUUAUGCAUUUUCUUCUUAUCCCUGAGGGUGAACUAGGCUUUGAGGAACUGAUUCUGCCGUUGUCUGACAUAUGAGGACCUGAUUCUUGAAUUGGGGUACUUGGAGCCAUUUAUUGCAUUGCAUGUUCUUGCACUUGAGGAAUUGAUUCUUCAAUUGAGGUACUUGGAGCCUCUUUUUUGUACUACCUCUUGUUGAACCUGAGGGACUGAUUCUUCAAUUGAGGUACUUGGAGCCUCAUUUUGUUCUGCCUCUUCUAUAUGGAAAUUAACCACAUCAUUGAUCACCCAAUCAAUUUUAGUUGCGUCCAUGUUUGUGAUGUCCACAUUUCUUUCUUCACUUUCAAUAUUUAGAUAUGCAAAGUGAUGUGCAACAUCUUGGUCAUCUUGGACUUUCUCGUUCGGAACUUGAGUGCUAAAGAUACUAUGACUAUCACCUAGUAUGUCAAAGUGAUAUUCAUUUGCAUUUUGGCUCUCCCCAUCUUCCUCCUGAAAGUAUGCCAAAUUAAAAAUAUGAAUCAAAUUGCAUAAUCAGUUUGCAGAAUUACUUAUUAUAUUAUCAGAUUGCAUCAUUAAUAUGCAUUAUUACUUAUACCAGCAUUAGUAUGCAUUAUCAUUUAUACAAAAAAUUAGUAUGCAUUAUUACUUAUAAGGAGAAUUAGUAUGUAGCAUCAAUUGUACCAUGUUAAGUAUGCAGCAUUAGUUAUGGAAUAUAAUCGUAAAUCUUCGGUGUAUAGCAGAAUAAGUAUGCAAAAUCAGUUAUAGAAGAAUCAAGAAUAUGAAUCAAAUUUUAUUUAUUCAUCAUUUAUUUAUACAAUAAUUAGUAUGCAUCAUUACUUAUAUAAUUUUUAGUAUGCAUCAUUACUUAUAUAAAAUUUUGGAUAAAUCUCAGUUUACUACCCUCAAGUUCGUGGUUUUCAACAUUUAGUACAUGAAGUUUUUUUCAUUCCAGAGUCAUACCUAAAAUGUUAAUUUUGGGACAAUCUCAUACAUCCAUUAGUCUAACUGUUAAAUCUCCUGUUAACUGAUGACGUGGUGCCCAUGUGGGCAAUGACUGGGUGCCAUGUGUCAUUAAGGGGUCCACGUAGAAAUUAAAAAUUCAAAAAAAAAUUUCUCGCCCAAAUUUAAAAUACUAAAAUAAUUAAUUUAAAAAAUUUUAAAAAAAAAAACCUCAAAACCCCCUUCUUCUUCCCUACCCGACACCCCUUCAUCCUAUUUGGUAAAAAUGAUUUCAUUUCAUACCACAAUAAUUUUACACCUUUAUUAUAUAUACAAGUAUCUUGGACCCACUAAGGGAAGCAAAUACAACAAACAAACUAACAUAUUUCUUAACUACUAAGUAAUAUCUCUAGAUGGUAUAGUUACAAUAUUGCCCCUUAUAUCCCCUCCCUUCAAACGAAACUGAGGAAUUCGAAGUUGAAGUUUGUCACAAAGAAACAUAAAUCUGGACUUAGACAGAGACUUUGUGCAAAUAUCAACCACAUGUUCUUGAGUGCAAACAAAAUGCACAAAAAUCUGUUUAGCUAAGACUUUCUCCUGAAUGUAAUGAUAGUAUAUUUCUACAUGUUUUGUCUGAGCAUGAAAAAUAAGGUUCUUGGCAAGAGAAAUAGCAAAAAUGUUGUCAAACCAGAAUUGGGGAGAACAAGGCAAGCAAUAACCAAUAUCAACCAAUAGUUGGCAUAUCCAAGUAAUCGCAGAUGCAAUGUUGGCAAUAGAUUUAUACUAUGCCUCUGUGGACGAUCGUGCAACAGUUGAUUGUUUCUUAACACUCCAACUAAUUAAUGAAUUGCCUAGAAAAACACAAUAGCCCCCAGUUGAUUUUCUAUCUAUAGCACAGCCAGCCCAAUCAGCAUCUGAGAAGACAAUGAUGGUAGGAGUGGUGGAAUACUUUGAAAACCACAAGCCAAGAUUGAUAGAACCCUUAAGAUACCUUAGGAUUAUCCUAACUGCCUGAAAGUGUGAAAUUCUAGGAUUAUGCAUGUAUUGGUAGACAAGAUUGACUGCAAAACUAAGAUUCGGUCUUGUCCAUGUAAGGUAUAGGAGAGCACUAACUAAUGAAUGAUACUCAAAGACAUUGUCAAACAAUGGAGAGUUAUGAUCGAGUUUAGAUGUGCUGAGUGGUGUACUGCAAGGUUUGGCACCAGUCAUGUUAGCCUUGGAUAGCAGAUCCAAGAUGUAUUUGGUUUGAGAUAUGAAUAAGCCUGAUAAGGAUCUCUUAACUUCAAGGCAUAGAAAAUAAUGGAGAGGGCCAAGAUCCUUGAUUGGAAACAUGGCUAAGCUACUGAAUUAUUGUUCGACAAGCUGCAGAGUUGGGACCAAUGACCAAAAUGUCAUCAACAUAGACUAGGAUGAAAACCACAUCUGGAACCUUUUUUAUGAACAAAGAAUGACCACUGUGAGAUCCUACAAAACCAAAAGAUUGAAGAGCAACAUGAAGUUUUUCAUACCAAGCUCUUGGAGCUUGUUUUAGACCAUACAAGGAUUUGUGCAAGUGACAGACAUGAGAUGGCUUAGUGGAAUCUUCAAUCCCUAAUGGGUGUUUCAUGAAAACUGAUUCAGUGAAAGACCCAUGUAAGAAGGUAUUGCUAACAUCAAGUUGGUUUAAAAACCAAUCAUAUUAAGCUGCAAGAGUGACUAGAAGUCUAAUAGUAACCGGUUUGGCUACAGGACUGAAGGUUUCAGUGUAAUCUAAACCUUCACGUUAAUUGAACCCCUUUGCAACAAGCUGGGCUUUAUACUUGUCUAUAGUGCUAUCGGGCUUUCUCUUGAUAAGGAAAACCCACUUGCAGCCUACAAUAUUCUGUGAUGAAGACUUAGGGACAAGAGACCAUGUGUCUGUGUUGACACAUUUUCUUCUUCUUGCAUUGCUUGGUGUCAAUGAGGAAACUUUGAGGCUUGAAGAUAUGUUUUGGGUAUAUAGUCCACUGAGAGAUGAGAGGGUAGAGGGUGUUUAGUGGCAGUGAGGGCUUUAGGUUUAAAAUGCCAAAUUUGGACCUUGUUUGCAUGGGAUGAGUGUUAAUAGGUUGUAUAGGAUUGGUGGUAGUAGGUUCUGAAAUUGCCAUAGUAGAAUUUGAGGGUGAAUUAGAAGGGUUGAUUGGGGAAAUGGUAGGGUGAAGUGAGGAAGACAGAUUUGGUGAAGUGGAAGUGGAUGUGGUAUGAAUGGGAAAUGUAAAGGUAAGGUUUGAUGGAAUGGUGGAUUCGGAGCUAGUAGGUAAGGUGGGAGGUGGUGGUGAGGAAGUUGACAUAGAGUGAAAAGGGAAACUGGAUUCAUUGUGGUGGCAAGAUCAAAGGAUUUGUAACCCUUAUAAUUUAAGUUGUGGCCAAGAAAUACAUAGGCCUUGCUUUUGGGAUCCAACCUGGAUGAAGUAUAAGACUUUAACCAUGGGAAACAGGCACAACCAAAUACUUUCAAAAAAUUGUAGUUUGGUGCUCAAUGAUACAGAGAUUCUCAAGGAGAUGAUCUUGAUGCAGUGGGCAGUCUAUUAAUAAAAUAGAUUGCUGUUUGAAAGGCUUCAACCCAAUAGAGGUGAGGUACUUUGGAAGCUGCCAAAAGAGUGCGAGCAAUUUCAACUAAAUAGCAAUGGUUGCACUUUGCACACCCAUUUUGCUCAAGGGUGUGAGGGCAAGUAAGUUGAUGCUGAAUACCACAAUAAUUUUACACCUUUAGUAUAUAUAUAUACAAGUAUCUUGGACCCACUAAGGGAAGCAAAUACAACAAACUAACUAACAUAUUUCUUAACCACUAAGUAAUAUAUCUAUGGUAUAGUUAUAAUAUUGCCCCUUAUACAUCCCCUCCACCCCUCCAUCCCCUCCACCCAUCACCCACUGACACCCUUCCCCUUCCUUGAUACCCACCCCUACCACCAAACCUUUUCUCAUUUCCCAAAAACCCAGCCCUUUCCCUUCCCCCAAAAUUCCCUCCCUCCAUUCUCUUCUCUGCACUCACCAACAAACGAAUACACUUUUGGAUAGAAGAGAUCAGAGUUCAUUGACGAUGAGGAUGAAGUCUUGGUAGUAGACCUUACAGACCUCCUCAAUUUCGGACUCCUUAGAUUCGGUGAAAUGGUGGAGGUGCCGGAUCAGUGUCUCAGGCUUCUCGGAAGUGAAGGCAUUACGAACAUUUGGAGUUUUUUUGUUGUUUGACGCAGAGGAAAGAAGGGAGGGAGGGAAUUUUGGGGUGGAGGGGAUUGAGGGGUGUUGGGUGGGGAAGACAAAUGGGGUUUUGGGUUUUUUUUUUUAAUACUUUUAUUUAAUUAAUUAUUUUAAUAUUUUAAAUUUGGGCUAGAAAAAAAAUUUUGAAUUUUUUAUUUCCACAUGGACCGUUUAAUGACACAUGACACCCAGUCAUUGUCCACAUGGGCACCACGUCAUCAAUUAAUGAGAGACUUAACAGCCAAACUAAUGGAUGUAUAAGACUGUCCCAAAAUUAACACUUUAUGUAUGACUCUGGAACGAAAAAAAUUUCAUGUACUAAAUGUUGAAAACUACGAAACUUGAUGGUAGUAAACUAAGAUUUAGCCUAAGAUUUUAGAAUGCAUCAUUACUUACACAAAAAUUAGUAUGUAGCAUUAGUUAUGAAAGAAUUAGUAUGCAGCAUCAGUUACACCAUCAUCAUUCAGUUAAUGGCAUUUAAUAUUUAUGCAAACUCAUCAGUUUAUAUAAAAUAUACACACAAAAACUGUGUAUGGAUUACCAUUUUGUUUGUUUGGUCUUCAUCUAUUUGAUCAUCACCUUUUUCCAGCACAUCUGAAACUAUUCUUUCAUCAUCAUCCUUUUCUUUUGAACGACAUCAAUCUCAUCAUCAUCAUUUUCACUUUGAGCAUCACCUUUUUCCAUCCCCUCUGAUAUGGCCCUUUCAUCAUCAUCAUCAUUUAUAUUCAAUAAAUUGAUCAGGUUCUGCAAGUUUCACUACAUUUUGAUUUUCUUUAGGUUCUACAUGUUCAAGCACUAUUUUUUUUUUGCUACUUUAGCUUUCUUGGCUUUCACCUCGUUUUUCGCUACUUGCUUCUUCAAUUUCCUCUUUUUCGAAGUAGGUGAAGGAUCGACAAAGUCAUCGUCAUCAUCUUUUGAGCCUUGUCCAAUUGAUUCAUCAAUUGGCUUUGUAUUGUCCAUCUAUGAAAGUUUUAAGAGUUAGUUUUUUGAUACUUUUGUUUGAAAACAACACACACCACGUAGGUGCAGAAUCAUAUCACAAACAAAAGGUACAACCAUAAUCACACAUAGUUUUACACAAAUAUAAUCUUCUUCUUUUUUUAUGAAUUUGUUUAAUACUUUUUUUUUUUUUUUGAUAUUUUUGUUUUGGGAAUAAAUAUUAAGAAUUUGUUUUUUCACAAAAAGUACAUGUAGAAUCAUGGUUUACACAAAAGUACAUGUAAUAUCAGUUUUACCUCUAAAUUUUUAUUUGCUUCUUUAUAUAUUUUUUAUACAGAACUAACAAAUCUCACUUGACUAUUGUUGGUAAGCAUUUCUCCUUUCCUGCAAUUGGUUUGAUGGUUUUGGUGUGAUCAUAAAACUAAUAUUGUAUCUACUGGAAAAUAACACAAAAACUGAUAUGUUUUUUUUUUAUUAGUUUUUGUUUGCUUACCAUUAAAAGUACAACGGCGCCACUGAAGGUUGGUUGUUUAUCUUUUUUCCUCUUAUGUGCUCUAUGAACUGAUUACAUCAAGUAUCUCACUGUUUCUUUGGCCCAGUUGUACUGAUUUAUGUUAGUGAUGGAGCUACAAUUAUUGGCCAAACUCCAAGAGAGUUUCCUUGCUGAGCUCCCAAGAAUAUUUGUGUUGAGCAAAAAUAGAAUUAUAAGGCAUGCAACAUCUUCAUUUCCUUCCUUUGUCCCAAUAUUAAAUGCAACUUUAAUUGCAUAUGCAAUUUCUUUUCUACCGAUUCUUGCCAUAUCUGAGAAGUAUUUAUCAACAAAUAUGUUUUCCUUCAACUUUGGGAUUCUUGUGUGUUUUAUUGACUACGGGGCUUAUCUGUCACAAUUUGGGAUCCCAAAUAUACGUUGGACAUCAUCAACAUUUACUUGGCUAUAUCCAUUCUUGAAUUUGAACAUUCAUUUUUCAAUGGCAUACCAGUUCACUAUAUGUAUGACAUCCUAGUCUGAUUUCUUCAUUUGCAAUUCACCAUGUACAUAUGCUUUACAAGUUUCCCAAAAGGUGACUUAUAUAUGAAUGUCAAGACUUCUAGUUUUUCCUCAAAUUUUGGUUUAAGCUCUUGUAUUAGUUCUACAAAGGCCAUGAGUUUCAGUCUUCUUUGAGCAUAUUUCUCAUAUGUUACCCGCGCUUUACAGCAUGAGGUUUUCAAGAUGCUUUCUUUUUUGUUACUAAAUUUUUUUUUUUUUGCGACAUCUUCAUAAAAAGGUGAAACGAUAAUGAGUAUAAUUUUUAAUCAAAUAAUAUGAAGUCAUAUAAAUGAAAAACUAGAUGCAAAUGGCAGAUGCAACAUCACUUAACGCACAAACUAGAUGCAACAUCACUUAACAAACAAGGUAGAUGCAGGCAUUACUUAACAAACAAGGUAGAUGCAUAAUUGUUUGUUAAAUCACAAGGUAGAUGCAAAAAUUGUUUUUAACACACAAGGUAGAUGCAGAUUCUUUUUUUUUUUUCAACACAACAUAUUUAUGUGCAGAAUCAAUUUACAAAUAAAAAGUAGUAACAUAAUCAAUUUAUAGACAACAGGUAGGUGCAGCAUCAAUACAAGUGCAACAUUAGUUACAAAGUGCAGCAUCAAUUAAAAUGUGCAUCAUCAAGUUAGACGGUUAAUGUUUUUACUCACAAAAUUUAGGCGCAUAAUCAUUUAUUUUUUAGAUGUUGUUGAAGAAUCAAUAUACAUAUAAACUAAAAAAGCGAAACUGAGCAUCCGAAAGGCUGAAAAUGUUUUUUCUUGAACUAGAACACUGAAAUUGGUAAAAACAAAUGCAGAAACAGUUGAUAAUGCAUAUGUUUUUGAUAGAUUUCGAAAGUGUUUUUAGCAAAAACAAGUGCAAAAACACUUUAAAAUACGUCCAAAUCACUUGAUAAUGCAUGCGUUUUUUUUUUAAAGAAUUCAAAAGAUAAUCAUGUAAAAGAAUGCUUUUGAGUCGUAGAAAAUACCUUGAAACAUUGAUUUUCUGAAAUCCGGCUAAACCUGUGUAUUACUUAUUGAAAGCUUGAAAGUAUCAUAAUCUAUUGAGAUUUUAGGAUUUUUUUGGGGAAAUUUUUUUGCAUAAGAGAGUUUUCGUAAUGAUUGUUUUGGGGAAGAUGAAAGAAAAACCAUCACUUUGUGGUUUUGAAUGGGCAUUCGGUUCCUUUUUAUGAUUUUUUGUCAUGUAGUAGUUAACGCGUAGACGUUGGUUAACUGUUAUGGUCGAGGGGGCAUGGGUCGUAAUUUACUCGGUCCAUUUCUUUUUGGUUUGGGCUUGGUUUUCUGCUGUUUGGGUUUUUUGUCUCUUCAUGAAAUGUUUUAAAAGUUGUGAAGUUGUGUGAAAUAUGGUAUAUGUUGAUGUCUCUAUACGUAAGGGUCCCUACAUUUUACAUAUAUAUAACAAAGUGGUGCAUAUUUUUAUUAAAACGGGGUAGAUUAUAAAUAAUUUAUGAGUACAAAUAAAAGAUUAAAAGAAAUUAUGGAUACAAACAAAAGUUCAAAAUAUGGGCACAAAAAAAAAUCAAAUAUUUGGGAACAAACUAAGACUAAUACAAAUUUGGUACAUAAUGUUUGCAAUUAAAAAAUGGGUACAAAUAAAAUGACAUGGAUAAAAACAAAAAAACAUUGAUAAAAAAUUUGAAAAACAGUAAGGUUUCAAUCAAUGAAAUUAACAAAUGAGAGAUGAGAAACUAAUUUUGCAUAUAUAUAACAUGCAAAAUUUGACAUGGAAUUAUAAGUGCCGAUUUAGUCUCUGAACUAUUACCUCAGUGAUAAUUAGAUCCCUGAAUUUUUUUUUGGUAAAAUACUUCCCUAAAUUCAUUAAAAAUUGCUAAUUUCAUCCCUACUAUUAUAUUCAAAGCUAUUUUAUCUAAUUUUUCAUUAACUUAAGUCACUUGACACACUUUAGAUUGUAAUACCAUCAUUUUCUUGCCUAUAAGCCCUUAACAUUUCAUAUAGGUUGCGAAUCUAACGUCUAAUUUACCCUCUAAAGUUAACUCUAUACACUAUUUCUUUAUGAAAAAUUACCAAUAUACCCUCCAAUGUGUUUCACAUGCAAGUAAUAGGAUUUAAAUUGACAUAAAAUUGAAUAUAGUAGCUUUGAAUCUAGUAUUAGGGAUAUUGGCAGAUUUUUAUAAUUCAAUGAUUGAUUCUUCUAAAAAAAAUGAUUUAGUGACCUAAUUUUCACUAAGGUAAUAAUUCAAAGACUAAAUUGACAAUUCACCCUUUCUUGUACUUUGAGUCAAAGAUUAAAACUUUCUUGCAUUCUUCAAGCUAUAAGAUUCGACGUAGUUCCAAGCCUUAAAAGUACUCUCUACAAGAAAAAGAAGCAAUAGCAAUAGAGUAAGUGUGGCGCUGUUACUAGGUAGCUAUUGCUAAAAGCGUGACAACAAUCAAAAAGUGUGACAAAAAUGUUACAAUGUAGAACCGAUUACUCUAGCCAAUAAAGUUGGCAAUUAUUCUUCAGCAAAUUGUUGAUUAACAUCAAGAAAAUUUUCUAUAACCUUAAGUAAAUUGUAUGGGCACGACCGAAGUACAUUAUAUUAACUGUGUAUAUAGUUUAGAAACAGUAAAUGUAAUUUAUGUUAACCAUAGUACAGUAAUCUCUAGUAAUGCACAAAGAAGAUUAGAAAAGCUCAAAAGUAAGAAGAAGAGAAAAGAGAUAGAGAGAGAGAUAGAAAUAUUUCUGCAUAUAUUUUCUUAAUGAUUCACAUCAAUACAGUCGCUAUUUAUCUUGUGCAAGACUUAGUUACAUUUAUCCUUAUCUUCUAAAUCCAUACAACCUAGACUAACUAACUAACCAAUUCUUGUAAUCUAGCCUUUCACACAUUGACAAAUGUCACAAUCAUAAUGGCUUGAUUAUAUACUCUAACAAUUUAGACAAUCAACAGGUUACUUUGAAAUUUAUAUUAUUGUUCAGUUGUUAGAGCCACUGAAUCUCCCAACCAACAAGGCAUUGUGUUCCUCUCUCAAGCUUUUAUAUAUCUCAAUCAGGCUCUUCAAAGUUUCCAUUCUCUCCUGUACAUUUGUAACCGACUUCUUUUCCUGCAAACGAAGCUUGGUUGAUGCGAUUUGCUUCUUCAGCUCUUGAAUCCGUGUUUCUUUCUCCUCUAGCUCUAUAUGUAGCCUUCGUAAUUUUGUUGGAUCAGUUAUAAAUAACUUCAAAAAUUAAUGAACAAACCCUAACCAAGUGAGACAAACGCUACCCUAUUUUUCGAUAUUUUUCAUAUGCCAUAUGAGAGGACUAAUGUAAAAAACCCCUUUAGGAAAUUGUGAGAGCUACAGGAAAGAAGGUACCAUAGGUGGAAAGGAAGAGAAUAGGGGUGGUGUUUGCUGCUGCUACCCUCCAUUACUUCACAAAAUUUUUAUCACGUCAGAAGAAUAUAAAACAAUAAUAUUAGUUUCCUCCCUUAUCAUUAGAUUUUUUUUUUUUUUUACUUUACAAACCAUGUUUACGCAAAAAGAAAAUUCUUUUUGUUUUUUUUAGUACAUCGAUAUUUUUACCUUGAGGAGAGGGGGAGUUCGGCAAAUCCGCACAAUGGGCAGCCUAAUUUGUUAUCGAAUUCGCCAUCCACAAGAUUCGAACCUAAGACCUUUCACUUUCAAGUGAAGAAAAAUACUACCAGAGUGUAGUAUUGAGUGGCCGCUAAAAGAAAAUCUUAAAACCACUAAUAAAAUAAAGAAUAUUGUUGCAGUCAUAUUUAGAAUAUGAAUGUGAUUGUGUAAAUCCUAGGGAAUUUGGGAAAGUAUCUUAUAUUCUUAUUAGGAUUAGAUUACCUAUUAAAUGUUGUAAUCCUAGAGGGAAAGGUUUUACCAUUCCUACUAAUAUAAAUAAGGGAACUUUAACGAAAAGCACCCGGUACUGUUCACUUUAACGAAAAACCACAUUUUUACACUAAAAAGUCAAUCCUGGUACUAUUCACUUUACCCUUUAUUUUGUCCUUAUCAUUAAAACUCAAAGUUUUCAAGCAUUUUUCAUUAGUUUUCCUUAUAAAUAAAGGCACAAUGGGGUGCACACCUCACAAUUAAAUCAAUCUCUCUUCUCUCUAAUAGUGGUCGGCCCCCUCUCUCUCUCUCUCUAAACCUUAGAUCAUUCAAUCAAAUAGGCCUACAACAAAUAUAUAUAUAUAUAGGCCCUUUAUGCAAAGGGAUCCCAUUUUUUUUCAAAAAAUGAGGAUUAGGUGUGGGGACCACUCCACAUCGAACUUCAACUAUCUGAACGUCUAUUUUGUAAGUCUUGAUUCAUAGAUCAUCCUUGCAAAAAUUCAAUUCAAUCUGAAACCAUUUGCCUAUUUAAUUAUCAAGAUAAAAUUUCAUUGUUUCUUAUAUAACGAAGUAUUCGCUAAUUUCUUUGAACUCAAUUAGAUGUCUUAAACAUUUCCAAUUUGGCUAAUAUUUUGUAAGGAUGAUCUAUGAGGUGUAACUUAAAAAAUAGACGGUUCAGAUCGUUAAAGUUCGAUAUGGUGUGGACCCCACAACUAAUCCCCACUUUUAUUAAAAAAUAAGAAUUCCUUCACUUAAAAGUUUCAUAUAUAUAUAUAACAAACAAUAUGACAAUCUACACUCAGUUCAUCUAAAUUAUGAAAAUAUGGAUUCAAACUCGAGUGUAGAGAGAAACACACUGCUAUAACCAACUUGACUAAGCUAAAAUAAAACAUUUGUAAAAAAUUGUUGUUGUAUGAAAUAUUCAGUGGUACUUAAGAAUUUGUAAGUUAACAAUUAUCUACUAUAUAUAUUUAUAAAUUCAAUAAAAUAAUUUUUUCUUAUUUCUCGCUCCAAAGAACAGGUUGCUAGCUGGGAGGAGAAUUCUCUCCCCUCUUAAUCUCUCUCCCCUUCCCUCUCCUCUUACUUGAAUGGUUACGGUUUAGUCAUGUCAACAUCUUAUAUUGAUUUUUUUUAGUUAAAGUGUAAAUAGUAGUUUAUUGUCCCACAUUGGUGAAGUACAUAUGUUGUCACGCCCCGAACCCAACAUACGUCCAAGAUCGACGCGUAACGUCACCCAACAUCUGUAUAUCUAACAGAUCCCGCCUCCGAGAUAUGUACAAGGCAUAACUCAAGAUCCAACUGCAUAAUAAUUUUUCGUAAGCUUUAUGGCUGCAUCUAACCUCCUCGUUAGACUGUCUACGUACCCUAAACAGGGAUCAAGAGAUUCGUAGUUCAUCAUUCACUACCCAUCUACAUUUACCACAGUACGUUCAAGCCGAAAGAUAUAACAUUCUUCAAUCAAUCAUUAGAACUUGACAAGUAUGGAAGUACUAGAUUCAGGGCUACAUAACAAUUCAAUAUGACAAACAACAUUUCCACUUCCUCCAUCAUAUAAAUCACUAUGAUUUCAACAAGAAACCUUAAUCCACCCCAUGUAACAUAUCCAAGAACCAACAAGGCACAAUAUUAUUCUCAAGCCACUUUGAGCAAUGAGAUUAAUCAUAAUAAUAACAAUCAUAUUCCACAUCAUUCCGCAAUCAUUCUACUUAAUCAAUCCUAAAAAUCAAAGAUGCAUGAUAUCUACAAUUACUAUGUUAUUCAAUCAAUAAGGUCCCAUAUCAAUUCACAAAUUUUAAUAAAGGAUCCCUACAUAAUUCCCCACCUGGAUUCCAAGUACUAACAUGAUAAGUCUAAUUUAUACACAAUGUCUACUGUGAACAAUUCAUAUUCACUCGACUUUAAGGUCAGACUACCUUUAUGGAAAUGAGCAAGCGUAGGGAUUCUAGACCACUGAACAGAAUCCAACCAAAAUACCAAGCGACCUCUUGUAAUCUCUUCAAACUUGACAUAUGUACAAUCAAUGCCUACACCAUGGGAAUGGUGCAUCGGCAUCAAGAAUUCAGAUAAGCUGUUAAACUCGGGUGAGUGACAAUAAUACAAGGAUGUGAUAAUAAUGAUAAAGCCAACUAUUAAUCACAAUUUACAUCUCUUGAAUAUAAAUCCUUCAUAAGGAAUCAAUACCAAACCUUUGUAACUUCGAAGGAGUCACCCAGACAUACAACGGUUCAUCUGAAACAAAUCACAACAGCUCACAAUCAUAAUCUCAUACAACACAAUGAAAAGUAGGGUUAGAGCGACACAGUUCGGCCGAAGUCUACAUCUCUAAAGCUAUCUCAAUCCAAAUUCAAUAAACCCCAAGGUGAACACAAUCCCAGACCAUCUCUCAACGAAAUCGCGAAGUAGGAGGGAUUCCGAACCUUCGUAACGGGAUCCAAAAGGGUACGAUUCCGGACCAUCACUCAACAAAAUCGCGGAGUAUAAUGCAUAAUCACCACUAAAUGAAACCCAAGUUAGAUAUGAUUCCAGAACAUCACUUAACAGAAUCGCGGAAUAGAAGGGAUUUCAGACCAUCUCUCAAUGGAAUCCGAGUAGAUACGAUUCCGGACCAUCACUCAACUGAAUCGUGGAGUAGAAGGGAUUCGGACCAUCACUCAACGGAAUCCAAACCAGGAUACGAUUCCGGACCAUAUUUCAAUGGAAUCGCGGAGUAGAAUGUGUAACAUCAAUCAAUGAAACAAGACAUGGAUCAAGUUCUUCAAGAUACAAGGACUCAACGAAACGAGAAUGAAAUAAUGACACGAGAGUUGAAACAUGUUUCAAAGUAACAAACCCCAUAACAAUAGGUUAAUGGUCCACUACUAGCCCUCGCAUUUCAUCACAUCAAUCCAAUCAUACAAUACAAACCAUAUUUCCAAUAUGCACGUCAAAUCACACCAUAAAACUACAUCAAUGGCUAAAUAUAAAAAUUAACAAUUUUAUAGGAAACAUAAUUAUAAAACCAUCUCAUAUCCACACAGGAUAGUAGUUAUGAAAAUAAGAUAAUCAUCAAUAUCACAUAUUAGUCAUUCACAUUUCUUCACAUCACACCAACAAUUGAAUUUCGGGAAACCAAGCUAGACAUAGGUUCACAGGGUCACUAGAAGGUAUUUGGUACUUAGACAACACUCGUGGACAGUCCCACGCACCACUAAACGCAAUGGUAGCCAUGGUGAAGGGUUUGAAAACCUAAAUUUUCAACCUUAACCCAAGAGGCUCAAAUUCAUGUGGUAACUAGAGCUCAACAAGGGAGACAUUAUUCACAACUAGACCAACGACAAAUUCUAACCGGAAUCAUCCAAAUUCUUCGGGGAAACCCGGUUUCUAGGGUUCUAAACACCCAACUCUAAAACGAAUACGAAAGCACGAACCAAGCAUCCAACUUGAAGAUUAUGAAGAGUAGAUGAAGUUUCAUACCUCACUUGAGGGAAAUGGUUGCCUCGAACUGGAAAAAUGACAAAACCGCUGGAAAACCCACAGGAAUUUGCUGCCUCGAACUGGAAAAAUGGAUAAGAAAAUGGAAAAUAUAACAUUACAGAGUUGUAGGGCUCAUCAAGAGCUUUCCAUGGACACCAAGAUCACCCAAAACGGAGAUCGGAUGAAGGAGAUAUGAGCGGGUCAAGUUAGUAGGUUAACGGGUUGAAAUCUCCCUAAAAACGGGUCAAAAGUCAGACCCCCUUCCCUUUUUUUUUCAUUGGCUGCUGUCUAAUCCUUUUUUUCUCCCCACCUUAGUCGGUCCCUUAACCCAAAUAUAUGUGUUUUUUUUUUGGGCUUUUACUCACAAGUGAAAGUUAAAUAAUUCCUACAAACUAUAGUAUCACAACUUCAAACGUCCGUAACUAUACUAUUAUAAUUCGGACUCGUAAACGGCUUUCGCCUAUGCGCUCGUAGUUUCAAGAUCUAUUCCAAUACGUUACUUGUGACCUCGAAAGGUCAACGAAUGUUAGAUAAAUACUUUCCAAACUUCAAACUUUGUAACUAAUUUAAUUAAAAUCUAAAUCCAAAUAAAUUAAUAUAAUUUCUCGAAAAAUAAUACAAAAUCUCAAUAAUACAAAUACGUAGAUUAUAACAGUGAAAUCCAGGAACGGGUUUACCAAUUGUAACUCCUAUAUAUACUCCAUUUUUUAUAUUAAUGAAUAUAUAAGAAAUUCUCAAAUAUUGUCAUAUAUAUUUUUGGUAUUUACCAUGUUUAGUUUAAUAAAUUUUUCUUAUUUCUCGCUACAAAGAAACAGGUUGCUAGUUGGGAGGAGAAUUCUCUCCCCUCUUAAUAUCUCUCCCCUUCCCUCUUCUCUUACUUGAGUGGUUACGGUUUAGUCACAUCAACAUCUUAUAUUGAUUUUUUUUAUAUAGACAAUAACACAAAAAGUAAAAUGUGGAACGAGGAGAUGGAAGGGAAUAAGAAUAGGUAGGGAGAUAAUCAUACUCCUGCUAGCUGGGGCAUGUUUCUGUGCCAAGCUUAAGGCAGCAAUUGAACACGUCGACAAUAUGGUACAUUUCGAAUAACAACACAGUAGUUGAGCAAAUUCGGAGGUUAAUAAUCUCAUUUGUAAAAUGAAACCAUGCAUGCCACGAUUCCAAUUCAAUACCAUCGAUAAGGGAACCUUAUAAAAUGUAAAAACCAAGGCUCACAAAACUAGACGAAAAAAUGUUUGAGUUUUAACCAAAAAUCACUUACUAACUUUAUUUAAUGAUAAGGACAAGAAAAAAAAAUAAAAAAAUACAUAACAAAAGUUUGGUGCUUCAGCCUCCUCUCUUCGAAGCUCACCUCCGCACCAACUCCUUCACCGCCGGCAUCCCCACCCUCCCCAAACUCCGUCUCCGAUUCCCGGCCAGCAACCGUCAUGGCGACGAGCUUGGCAACAAGGAACGAGAGGAUCAAAGCCAACGACGUCAUCAGAAACAGGUCCUGGACGAGCUCCAUGGUGAUUAAUUACUACAAUUCAAAAUUCUGCAAACAACGAAUUGAAAUCGAAGGAUGAAAACAAAGGGAGAUUAAAAGCGAUUGGGAGAUGAGUUUUAAAAAGUUAAUUAAUAGUAAUAAGUCAUAUGUGAGCAAAGGGAAAGGGAUAUAUGCAGCAGAGCAAAGCAUAUUCUGAUGUUUUAUUAUUGCUUUUUUCACUGCUUUUCCCCUGCGUCACUUUUUCUGACGGACAAGGUGAGGCCCUUGAGGUCUUCGAUGGUGCCCUCUUCUUCAUUGGGCAUAAAUUCGCCACAGUCAUCCGUAGCAGUCCCUUCUAUGGCUGCUGCAUGGUUCUUGAGGCAUUCCUUGUAGUAAGUUUUUAUAAAUAGUGUCGUAAGUUUAAUAAAUAGUGUCGUAAGUUUUCAUAAAUAGUGUAGUAAGUUUCAUAAACAGUGUCCUAAGUUUCAUAUAUAAUGUAGUAAGUUUUAUAAACAGUGUACCGUGAGUCCGCGAGUCAGAUUUUUUGUCAUUUUUAUUAAAAUUAUGCUUUUUUCAUUCAAAUUUAAGUUCUUUUGUCAUUUUUAUUAAAAUUUAAGGGUUUUUCAUUAAAAUUAAAGUCUUUUUAAUUAAACAAAUUAUAGCAUGGUUUUUUAUUAAAAUAAACUUAGGCCAAACCCUUUUCAUGAAAGUCCCCUUUUUUAUAUCUAUUUUCAUGAAACGAACUUUAAUAAUAGAGCAAUAUUUACUUUGACACAAUUCUCUUGUUGGAGGUCCCUGCACUGUGAAUGUGACCCUGGAAUGAAAAUGUUUAAUAUAUAUAUGUAUGUAUGUAUGUAUGUAUGUAUAUGAGAGUUAGAAUUCGAAGACACAAGCUUUUAACACACAUUUUUGUGGAUUUACUUGUAGUGUAUUUUAAUUAUCUAAUCAUUUAUUUGUUAAAGAUCAUGUUUACUAAAAAUCAUCCAAAUGAUCAUAUUUGUGUCAUUUUUACAAGAAUAAUCUAUUAAUGAUGUACUAAAAUUAAACAGUUUGGAUCGUUGAAAUACAUUAAGAAGUAGACCCUACAAAAUAGAUGUCAAAAUGUGUGUCGAAAACGUGGGUUCCGAUUCUUAACAUAUAUAAAGGAAUAAGUCGUUAGGCGGUUGUGGUGGCACUAUGACCUACCAACGUGAGCUAGCAUUCGCAAAGCCAAAAACCCAUGCAUGAAAUGGAGGUGGCAACCAAAUCGGCGCCGUAGAUUUUGGUACAUAGAUGUGAAACCUUCUCUUCUCCUCCCAUACCCCGUAGUUAGUUCACCCACUAGGAAUAAGAAUAUCUCUGCACCUUUGCAACACACAAUCUUGCGUUUCCAACUUUCAACCUUACCUCCUUUUUUAUGUGAAUCUAGGGAAUUUUUCUAAGGGGUUGGUAUUCGAGCGGGGUUUUUUCUUCGAAAGUUCUCUAGCUUUCUAACGAAAGCUCAAUAGUUUAUGUGGUUUAGGCUCAUUUAAACGUGUAUGAUAAUUCGGUAUGUUGACAUGACUCCGGUUAAGAAAAGGGUGUAUAGGACAGCGUGAUAGAUAUUAUAUUACUUGAUACGACAUGCAUAUUACCUAAAUUUUGAAUAAACGGUUAUUGACUAUUUGAUUUCAUAAGAAAUUCGAAAGUAUACCUGGGAUUGGUAUAUGAGAUAAAUUUCUCUUUAGACGUCAAAAUGGGCCAGCAAUGUGAUUGGGCUUCACUAAGACUUUUGGGCUCAACUAAUGUCAAACUUGAUAUUGAAAGAGCUUUUGAUAAUUUACAGUGAGAAUGUUGUCUAAAGUUCUCUUUCAUUUGGUUUCCAUCCUAUUUUUGUUGACUGGGUAAAGAAUCUACGUUUUUUUUUUUUUUUAUGAUGAUAUUUUAAGUUUUAAAAUUAGUCUGAUGAACUUUUGAAAUAUAAAUUGAUAUACACUUAAACUAAUAAACCUCUCACCAUAAGAUUUAGAAUUCUGUUUACAAUAAGGGUUACAUUUCUCAAAUUAAUUAUCCUCUUUUUAACUAGGGAACUUUAACGAAAAGCACCUGGUAUUGUUCACUUUAACGAAAAACCACAUUUUUACACUAAAAAGUCAAUCCUGGUACUAUUCACUUUACCCUUUAUUUUGUCCUUAUCAUUAAAACUCAAAGUUUUCAAGCCCUUUUCAUUAGUUUUCCUUUUUAACUAAUGAAUAUUCAAAUAACAUUUCACCAGUAUUCAAUCUAAUAGAAACUCACUUCGAAUAACUUUCUAUCUUUCAAUUUUCAUCCUUCACGAUUCAUGGAUAAAUAAAUACGCUAUCAAUUCAAAAAGAAGAAAAAAAAACAUACAAGAUGAGUAUUGAGAAAUAAUAGUACCUAAUUUGGAGCCUUAAGGCUUACCACGACGAGACGACGGGUGCAGGUUUGAUUCGACUUUAACCAGAUGUGGAUGUAAUGGUAAUGGAAAAGGAAAAAAGAGGAAGAAGGAGUAGAGCUCUAAUAUAUUUUAUUUCUUUUUUAAUAAAACGACCGUUACACCUUUUUCUCCAGCUAGUGCUCUUAUAUAACUCAUUACACAAUACUUGCCAACUGGCAUUUCUAACAAACUCCCUAAAAAUAAGUAAUUGUUGUAGUCCUAAUUAGAUUAGGAAUGUGAUUGUGUAAAUCUUAAAAAAAUCUUAUGAGAUUCUAUCAUAUCUUUAGAUAUUAUACCAUUAGAGUUGUAAUCUUAUCUCCCUUCUAGUAUAAAUAGAGGUAUAAUGGUGUGAGAAAUCACACCUCAGAUAGAAUUUACUUUUUCUGUGUUGAACGAGAAACAACGCAUUGAAAAUGAAAUUCCGACUUUCUGAUAAUGAACUUCUACAAAUUCAAAGGUCAAUUUCGUUUUUUGCCAAUCGAGUUCCCCAAAAAUCCAAGUUUGAAAUUUUCAAUGACAUUGAUGCAUGAAAACAUUUUUCUUGAUGUAUGAACCCCUUACAUUUAUAAUUAUCUUCCUAUAUAUAUUGUAUAUAUUUUAUCAAUACUAGCAUAUGGGCACACACAAAAUGUGUGAGAAAAUUUUUUAAUUUUGUUUUUGAAAUAGAAUGAGAGAAAAAGAAAGUUGUAGAGAAUAUAGGAGUGGAAAGUUUUUUUUUUUUUUUAGAGACAUAUUUUUUAUUUAUAUUCUGUUUUAAUUAGAGGGGGUUAAAUUAGUGACUAAGUGUUUUAUUAAUUGGGGACAUUCCUUACAUAUAUAUAUAUAUAUAUAUAUAUACACACACACAGAGAGGAUCCCUCCCCUUAGCUCUCUGUAUAUAUAUAUAUAUAUUUAUAUAUGUUCAUGCUGAGCCUCGGCCUAAAGCCGCGCUGUUUGGUUAAGCCAAGCCACGUUAGCAGCCCCAGUUGGAGCCGCUGCCCACCAUGUUUUCUGGUGGAGAACUUGCAGCCAACCGUUAUUUAGGUCGUGGCUGUGACAGAAAAUCGUUCUAACAAUACUUGACGGAUUCAAGGACCCAGUUUGCAAUUCAUCAUCGCAUACACCUCUCUCGGUUGAAUUCGAGAUCGAUACAGCGGUUUAGAUUCGAUUAAUCAACCCCAUGCAUCGUGGAGCCACCAUCACCGUCCUUCUGCAACUCAAGAGGCGGUGCCCAGCACAGGUUGGGCCUUGUCCCUUACUUCGGCCCACGCUUUUUCUUUUUGUUUCUUGGGCCUGAUCCCCCUCGACCCAAUUCCCGGUUGCAACUGCAGUUUGCCUGCUUGCAUAGGCUGCCCCUGCCCCGUGCAGCCUGCCCCAAGCAUAAGCCUGCACCCUUUGCUACAGGGCCCACUAUAUUGGCCAGCAUCCAGCAAUUCUUUGCUGGGCUGCCAAGUUUCUCAAGGCCCAAACAUUUUUAACCCCUUUUUGGUUCCACCCCACACCCAACUAUGUUAGACUACCUACGGCUAAGCCCUAUUUUAGGCUAUUUUCUAAUCGUUUGGCCCAAAGUGAUCUAAAACUAAUAUUAACCGAGCAUCGUUAUUUUUCUUCCAUGUUCCACCCCGAAUGGUCUUAGAUCUAUUAAAUUAAUUUAAGUGACCAGCAGUCCAUUAAUUCAACAAAAAUCCAAAAUUAAUGGCCCUAAGCCUAGAUUUUGGAAAUUAACGAUUCAAAAUUUUAUUAUUUUUCUUUGAAUCGUUGACAUCCUUUUGUAGUCCCGAAGCCAUUCGCACUUGAGUUCCUAAAGAACCCAAAAUCACUACACUAUAGUUGCAUAUUGUAUUAUGUGUUCUUACAAGUACCUCUUUUUAUGAAUCGGAAGUUCAUACUAAACUCGAACCUAUAUUUUUGAAUUUAGUGCCUUUGAAACCCAAAGCUUUCAUAAAUACACUCAUAAAAACCCAACGUUUUUCAUGUAAACAAUGUCUUAGAACCUGAAUGUUCUAACUUUAAUUCUUAUGGAUGUUUUAUUUCCUAUAACACUAAACACAAUCUUGAUCCCUUUAUUUAGUAGAUUGACGAACCGUCACGAGUUUGAUUUCACUGAUUUGGACGUUUUUUACUGAAACUACUUUAUGUAAGUACAAGACGUGAAUCUGCAUGUGAUUAUCAAGAAGCUAAGAACCAUUAAAACCAACAAUGGCGUGGAAGAGCUGAAUAAAUCUUCGCCAUGAUCUUCAUUCAAAAACUUAUACCCGAAGCAUUACAAACGGAAGUACCUCCCUAACGAGGAUUCCAUGGCUCUUUGGCUCGCUCUAUGGAUAGUUUAAUUAUUAAAGAUGACAUUGCAUGAAGCAAACCAUGAUUGAAACCUUUACAUCUAUGAAUGAGUAUGAUUCUAAAGUUUAUAAAAUCUAAUCGAAUUUGACUGGAGAAUACUUUUCUUGUCAUUCCAUGUUUUUGAAUUGCUCCUGAAGUAGUAAGAUAGAGAGCCCCAGUGAGUCCGUUGGGAGGUAUCAAACAGGAGAGAUAAAUUUUUAGGAUAAAAUCCUCGUUCUAAGCCUAGAAAAUCUUAGAGGACAUCUGGCAGUAGAUAUUGCAUUCCAUUAGGAGUUAUGAUUACUUGCGGCCACACCAAUUCCUAGAUUUUAUAAACUCCCAAACUUAUAGGAUUUGAUUAUGUCCAUAUCUGGAUCAGAUUGCGUGUCUUGUGGAACAAGCAUGGUCAUCCAGCGGAGUCGCUAGGACUCCGCCAAUUGCCCCAUAGUAGAGUGAUGGUGGCACCGCUACUCUGGUUCAUACAUCUCUGCCUGAAGCUGGUAAAUCCACAACCGGACUUCUAAGCUAACUGUAUCCAGAUCAGCUUUACUCUGGCCCUAGAAAAUCAUGGUCCCUAUUUUUAAUUUUUUUUUAAUUAAGUUAAAGGGUUUUUUGAGUAACCUACGAAAAAGGAACCUAGAUUUUGUCUCCUUCAAUCCCCUCUUAUUUGAAUGCUCGUGAUUAAAUCACACUAACAUUUCAAGCUGCCUUCUCUUAUUUGUAGAAAGAAAAAAAUAAAAAUAAAAAGAGAGAAAGGGACUGGAGAGGGGAGAAGAACGGAAAGGGAGAGAAUCCUGCAAUCCUACUCCUUCGAACGGUCAGCAAACACACGGAGCAAAAAAACAAAGAUUGAUGAGAAACAGCAAACAUUUCCAGUAAGAGUGAAAGUGAAAGGAGUGAUAAAUAACUCUGAUGUAUACCCAUUUAUGUAAAUGUCAGCGGCACCCAUGUGACGACUUUACUCGUAGCACCCACAUGUAAAAUACAACAAACAAUAUGUGACAAAGCACACCACCUACCUAAAAGCAAAAACUUUCGACAAAAUCCCCUUCCUACCCCUGAUUCGGUGAUCACGUGAUGCUCCUGCUGCAACCAAAACAUCAGACAGCUACAAGACAAUCAUAUGACCCCAACAAAACAUAAAAUAGCCAUUCUAUCCCCUUUCAACUUAGACCAACUCCAAUUCUUAGAGUAAAACUCAAAUUUUAGAUUAUAAACUUAUCUCAACUUACUCCAACCUUUGGACCAAAUAUGAGUUAAAACACAAUGCUCAUUUCUGGGGUAAAUUUAGCCUAGGAAUCCCUCCGAGGUUAGUGGAGCUAGCCCACCAUAUAUGUAUAUUUUUUUUGGUUUUAUAUUUAUAAAUUAAUAGAAUCUAACGGUUAAUAUCUAAUUUGAUAAAAUCCAACUGUAAAAAAAACAUCUAACGGUCUAAAUUUAAAUUCAACGGCUAAAGUAAUUAAAGAAAAUUAUUUCAUGUGUUUCAUAUUCUUUCGUAGUGUUCCAUGAAUUUUUUAGUGUCAAUUUAAUGAUUUUUCAAUAUUAAUUGGAAUCUAAAAUUUGUAUAAAGUUAAAUUCUGAUAAUCUACAUAAUUUAUUUUUUUUUUAAAGUUAUUUUAAGAUAAAAAUAAUUAUAAAUUCAUUAUUUACUAAUCUCGUGCUAAAUAUUUAACCCAAAAGGUUGGAGGAGAAAAACCAUUUCUGAGUUAAAACCUAAAUUUUAUGAGUCGAAAAUUUUUUAUUUUAACUAACCCAAGAAUUGAAAAUAGUCUUCAUGUACAACCAGCAACUACGAAUUCUUAUGUUUCUGGAAAACUCAAAAAUCUAAGCAAAACAAACCUUAGGAAACAUAGUAACAUGAAAGAUAAGUUCUUCUGUACAUAACAACGUAAAAUAUAAGUUACAAUCCUUGUUCUGCUCUAGACUACAGAAAACACAAAGGAGAUCAAUCGAUCGAUCGAUCCCAGUCUCGUUCGUAAUUUCAUCUGUCCUUACGUAUGAAAUAUGUAUUUUCUUUUCAGUUAGCAGUAUGUAUCGGGGGUGACGGCAAGCGAGACCUCGUUGAGAUCUUCCUUCUCUAUGGAUCUACUCUUAGUCUUUGAUGUAGGUAUAAUUCAGCAGCUAUACAUCUUCUAGCGGAUUUACUCUUCCUUUUAUAUGCUUCUCUACUUUCCUGCAUAAGGGAGGCGGAACAUAAUCAUAAACGUAGAUUUUUUGAUUUCGCACCGCUACAAACCCUAGCAAAGUUAUGUACACAGAACAAAAUUAGUAGGGAUGGUCCUUACCCUAGCAGUAGCACAGUCAAUCAGCAUUAUCAAUGAGAAGCAAUGAAGCCAGCAGAAUUGACUGAUGAUAAUGUGUUGUUUUCAGUAGCAAUGGCAGUAUCAUUAACUUCGAGCACAGUGGUUGACAACUCAGAUAGAUGAUGAUCUCCGGCAGAUUUUGUAGGAGAAGUAAAGAGGCUAUCGGGCAGGACCUGCUCUGCACUGCUCUCUCAUCACAACCACAAGAACAUAAAAAAGAAGAUAAAUAUAUUAAAUGCAAUAUGCAGAAGAACAUGAUAUUUUACAAUAGAAGAAACUUAAAUCAAUAAGAAAAUAAAUUAGGUCAUGUUGUUAUAGCUGUAGUCAAUAUUUACUUGAUACGAAAACGAAGCUCCUUACCUUUUAUGAAGAUUAGGAGCAUCCAGGUUGGAGUCUUGCUCCUUUUCUUUGCCAUUCCUAUUGCCAUUGUUGUGAAUGAAAGCUAAAUUAUCUUCCUUCUGGGACUGCUGCUCAGCAAUUGCACGAGUCACAGACAUUGAGGCAGCUGGAAUGUCACUGUGGCCUGCGAUAACAUGGAAUUCAGUAGUUGGAACAACGAUUAUACAUCACAAAACUUAAACAUAUAUACAGUACAAAUUAAUGGUAAGUGAUAAUAAGAAAACCUUCUGCAACUUCUUGUUCCAUGCUGUCAAAUGGAAGGAUAUUUUGAUUGAUCUGAGCAUGGGAAUGAGGGCUCAACGGAGGACCAUGAGCACCAACAGAUAGACUGCGGUGAUGAUGGGUUAAGCGUUCAUUCUUCCAGUCUGGGAGCUGCAGACUCAUAAGUCUUCUGCCUUGGAGUUCAAUUGCUUGCUGCAGUUCAGCCUGCUCCUCCAACUUUCUUCUCAAUAACACCUCCUGUGUAUUGUAGAACAUUCUUCCCCCUAAUAGAAAACAUGCAUUCAGGUAAAAUAUAAAAUGAAAAGAAAAAAUAUCAACGAGAAUAGAGAUUCUCUCUUGCAUAUUCGGCAAAAUGCUAAGACAUUUGUCAACAUUCAGUCAUCCCUUCUUUCUUUUUACAAUAGUGUUUAUGGCACAAAGUAUUCAUUCUUGUUUUACUAACCAAGUGGGAGAUCAUAUGCAUCUCUAGAAUCAAGACCACCAGGGCUCAGACAUGAUGAAAAUUCUCCCCUCUCCAAAUGCUGUUGUUGUUGUUGCCUCCUGCAGACAAUCAACAAUUGAGACAUCAAUGCAAGUGAAAUAACGAUAUGCCUUAGAUUAAAACGUAACAUAAGAAUAAUGCACAUACUUAUCCAGGAUUUUUCCCUUCUCCUUGUAGGGCUUGACGAGCACACGUGAAUCACAUAUAAAAUGAGGAUUGCCUUUGGACAAUAUAAGCCUGACAGUUUCUGGGAAGACAAAUGUUACGAACCCAAACAUUCGCUUCUGCUGAUAUGGGAUCCUAACAUCUUGAACUGGCCCGAACUUGCUGCAAAAGUAGAACAACGAACAAUUCCAUAAGAAUUCCAGAACAGUACGCGUUUGAACAAUAUAAUAACAAUCAUAUGAAAAUAUCUUAUCUUGGAAUAAUACAUAGAAAUCCUUUCUCUUUGUUAAAGUAGAACCAAACAUAAGGGCCAACACACAUUUGGCCAGCCACUCAAGAUCCCACAAGACCUCUGAAUUUGUUUUACAUUGUCAUAGUGACACUUGACAUCAUCCUGUAGAACAUCUCCAAUAACCAUGCAUUGGGACCAUGACAUACCAAGCAAUAACAGGUUAGCAAAGUUAUUUGACAGAUUCACAAACAACAAUUCAUCAUUGCCAUUGCAAAAUCACAAUAUGGGAGUCAUACAAAGACAAAAGUAUGGUUGAUCAGAUAAAUCGUUUUGUCAAAUGGUGUAUGACACUAGACUCAUGUUCACAGCAGAGCACUAACUGAACUUCUUCAGUUUAUUUGACUUCAUCCUUUAAAGGAAGAAUCCCUCAGUAAUAAUUCAUGGCAGUGCAUAUGCUGCAUUAGCAUAAUAUAGGUCAAUUGUAACAUUUGAAGCCAACAUUGCAAGCCCUAAUGCAAGUGUUGGGUACGGUUCAAAGGUAAAAUCCCUACCGAUUUAGACACUUGACAAUGUAUUCAAGUCAAACAAUGCCAAAAAGCCCAAAUUGCCUUCUCAUACUAACUUAAGAAAACACAUAGAUUGUCAUGCCACAAGAUGAAAUGCAUACACUAGAAUGCCAUUAUAGUUGACCGAAGUGCUAAGGAAUGAUCGAUUCGAAAGAAUCCAAUUCCUAUUUUGCCAAUACUCAGGCAUAACAACAGCUUACUCAAGGUUGUUGGAAGACUUGGUCCAACUAACAAAUAAUAAGUAAUAGGAUGUAUAAUUCUACCUGAAGUAUUCUGAAACAUCUUCAUCUCUAAAAGUGCUCUCAGCUGGGAAUGUCAAGUAGAUCUGUCUUGAAGCUGAGUUCGCCUUUUCAACAGAAGCCAUUGCCAAAAGUUCGUUUCUAUCAGGUCGACACCGCCCAAACUUGAAAAGUUCUUCCCCCAUCAUCAUGGCCGCAACUCUACAAUGCAACAGAUUCCACCGAGGAAACAAAAAUGUUGAACCAAAAAAAGAGACAGAACCAAUAACCAACCCAAACCAAGAAUGCACUUGCAGUCAACAACAGUUCCACACAAAAGACAUCAAUCUAUACAGAGCGAAAUGGGUUGUUUUCAACAUACUCAAAAUAAAUAACAAAGCAACAGAAAAUAGCGAAAUCCGCGACUUCCAAUUUACCUCUGAGGGUCAUUCUGCUGUUGCAAUAGGAAAUUCAUGUACUUGUUGUACGAAGAAGGCGACGCUCCAGCCAUGAACUGAGAGGCAGCAGCCAAUCUCUGUUGCUGGGCUUUCAACCGCAACAUCUCCUCCUGCUGUUCGAAACCAUCGAGAUUACUGAGAGACCCCACAAUAGCACCAGGAGCGUCCAGGGAAUCAGCAAAACCGCAAUGCACAAACUUGCAAUUGCUUCCAUUCUUGCAAAACCCUCUAGCAAAGUAAAGACACGGCUUGAACCCAACUCCCAAAGCAGGGUCCUCGGACCCGAGACAAGCAUCGCUGGCCGAAUAGCUCCUUUUGUGGAAAUGGGUGUCGCCAUUGUUAACCGAAUGAACCCAAUCAGGAACCCCGGGACCCAAUUCGAGCCUGGGAUCAAUGGAAUCGCCCGGCCUCGAAGAGGAAGAAGACUCGUUGAGAAAGGAGAGGUACUCGCUGAGUUGAUGCUCGUCAAUGAGGUCACUUCCUGGCCACCCAUCACCACCGCCCCCACCACCACCAUCCUUACAGAACUGGUGCGAAUGUACUGGAACGGAGAAGGACCCGGCCCGGAUAUUGUCAUGAGAGAGUAAAGGGCUUGCCUUUGGGCUAAUGGAGUUGUUUGGGAAGCCAGAAAGCGGCCAGGGAUUCGAAGAGGGAGAAGAAGAGUUGUUCCCAAAGUCAAAGCCGUUUGGGAUUCUAGGAGAGGACUGGGAAAACGGGUUGGCGUUGGUUGGUCUGGCUAUGGGAUUUAGCGGUGAAGGAGAGGAAGGAGUGGACGAUACGGACGAAGUGUUUGACGAAAGUCCCAACUGGAUUUUAGCCCUCACAAUCAGUGAGUGCAAAAGGCUCUCGGGACCAUACGCCAAACGAAUCAAAUCCUUCUCGGCAAGAUCUUGAAUGAGAAGAUAACCCAUGAUUUUGAUGGCAUUUUCUGGGUCUAAGGUUUUGAUCUUCGAAAAGAGUACAUUUGUAAGUUCAUAGGAACCCAUGAAGUUUUCUCUAUCAGACCGGAGAAGGAGUGAGAAAAUUGGUUUUUGAGUAGGGUUUGAAGUGUAUUUCAGUAGACUGUGAAAAGCCUCUCUCUCCUACCUGUCUGUCUGUCUUUCUCUCUCAUCUCUCUGGAAUCUAUACUUUGAGGGAAGACCGGAAGGAGUGGUAGAUUUCAGAUCUACUUACUUCAAAGUUAAUUGUCAAUACAACACGACCACUCCUGUGAAUUAUUAGUAUUUCUUUUUAUUUAUAAAUCAGGUAUUAAAGAAUCAUUUUUAAAAUUAUAACUAACUUUCAAUUCUCAUUAAAAAAUAAAAAUAAAUUGCAUUAUUGUUAACCUUCACUUCUUAAAAUGGAUUAGGAUUUUCUCCUCUCCUCUUUUCAUUCCAUUCCAUUAUCUUCUCUCACAUUCUCUUAUUUUAUCUUUCUCUUGCUAUAAAAAUUUAAUACAAGAUGUUAACGUGAUUUAAUCGUGACCGUUUUCUUUCUAUAAAAAAUUAAUAUAAGAUAUUUACUUGAUUUAACCAUGACCGUUCAAAUAUGAGGGAAGUGAAUGAAAGGGAAUGAAAAGAGGAGAGGAGAAAAUCCUAAUCCAUUUUAAGAAGUGAAGGUUAACAAUAAUGCGAUUUAUUUUUAUUUUUUAAUGAGAAUUGAAAGUUAGUUAUAAUUUUAAAAAUGAUUCUUUAAUACCUGAUUUAUAAAUAAAAAGAAAUACUAAUAAUUCACAGGAGUGGUCGUGUUGUAUUGACAAUUAACUUUGAAGUAAGUAGCCCCAUUCGGUUGGAGAUGGGUUUUUUGUCAAAAUGCUAUGUUUUGACCUAUGGCCCUUUGGCCCCCUCAGUUGGAGAUGAUAUAAAAUAUGGUCUGACACUGUUCAUUAAAAAAAAUUCUUGCAAGGUUAUAGGGCUAAACAUGGCUCUUUGGCCUUCCUUCGGUUGGAGAUGGCCUAAGGGGGAGGGAUGGGCUUUGCCUCACAAAAUGCUAGCAAUAAUGUGGUUCAAAUUCACUCUUGGCGAUAAUCGAACCUAAGACCUCUCACUUACAAGUGAAGAGGAAUACUAUUAGACCAUAUAGAGAUUUUACUUUUACUCCAUAUAGAGAUUUUAUUGUAUAUUGGCCUAAAUCAACCCUUUAUAUAUUGGAAAAAUUUACAUUGAUGCAGUCCUAAAAUUAGUUAGGAGUGUUCUGUAAAUACUUAUGGGAUUCAAUAGUAUCUUUUAGAUAGUUUCUAGUUGUAAUCUAUUACUUGAAAGGUAAGGAUUCUUCUUUUCUUAUGACUAUAAAUAAAUGCACAAUGGAUAAGAAAUCAUUAAUACAGAAUCACCAGAUUCUCUAUCUCUCUCUAUUUGCCACUAAUCCUUCUCCCUCUUUACCCUCAGUAAAAUAGGCCUACAACACGUUAUCAGCACGCUCUUGCUGCUGCUUUAAGGAAAUGAAGGUUCUUGGAGGAGGUUCUUCUACAACUAGCAUUCAAAGACUUUCUUUGUCAUCCAAUUCAAAGUUCUUCUAAAACACAUAAUCGAUAUUUUAUAAGCUCUAAUAAAAUGAAAACAUUCACCAUGUAGCAUGAACCCCAAUUUAUCAGUAAUAGUCCUUCAACUUUAACCCAAUUGGAGUGCGCUCAAUCAAAAAUCCAUUACUAUUGGUCUCUUAACUCAUCAAAACCUGCAGCUAUGGUCCUUUUCGUCAACUCCGUCAAAAUUCCAUCAAAAUGACUAUAUUGGAAGGACUUUUGCUACAAUUGGUUAACGUUAAGGGAUCAUUGCUACAAUUGGGUUAAAAUUCAGGGACUAUUUGUCCAAUUGGGUUAAAGUUGAGGGACCAUUUCUCCAAUUAGGUUAAAGUUGAGGAAUCAUUGCUACAAUUUUUUUCAUUUAGCUUGCCAUAUUUACCCCUCGAUUAAGUCUCAUAUGUGUGACACUUUACUUAUUUUGACAGAAGUUUUAACGAAGUUGACUUAUUUUGAUUUUGGAUAUGCAAUAUUAUGAUGUUGAUUUUGUAUAUACAAUAUGAUUUUGUAUAUACAAUAUUAUGUAGACCAAAAAAUUUCUUACAUGACAUGUUAACAAGAUCCGAAAUAACACGAAGAUAAUGGAGUUCGGGUCAAUAUGUUAACUAAUCAGAUUGUUAUCGGGUUACAUGUUAAUGAGUUUUUAAUAGUUUUACCUGUGAAUUAGCCGUUUCAACCUGAUAAGAAAAAAGUUAGUUUGAUAAUUUUAAACUACUAAAAAACCUUAAUAAAAUAGCCAUCCAUAGUUUUAAUCUCACAUGAGAUUAAAAAUUUCCAAAGCACGUUAAAAAUACCAAAGCAAUUUAAAAUUACUAAAGCCCAUUAAAAAUUCAUAAUAAUUAAUUUUCUGGUGUGAAAAAUAUGUCAAUGCUCAUAAUAAAAAAAAAUAUAAUAAUUAAUGAAAAUGUGUGAAAAUGUGAAAACAAAUAUAUAAACACUUGUGAUUGCAUUCUCUACGCUUAAAAGAUGGUUACAUAGUCAUUAUGAUUUUUAAAACCCUCCAAACCCUCAUGAAUAGUGUUUUAUUGUUUGAGUGCAAAUUAAUAAUUCAUAAUGAUCAACGUAGAAGUGUGAAAAAUGUGAAAAGAAUAUACAAACACUCGUAAUAACAAGCUUUACAACUUUUUUAAAGGAGUCAUCUCCGAAAUUUGGCACAAAACCCAUAAAUCCUAGAUUUAUAUUUAACCGCCGGUGGUCGUUUACACUAUAUUCUUCUCAUUGGAUUUCAUUUUUUAGAUUUUUGUUUUUGAAAACAUGAUCUUUUAGCAAAUGCAAAAAAAAAAAAAAAAAAAAAAAAAAAGAAUGGUUUGGAUCGUUGAUAUCACAUUUCGAUGUUUACAAUUAACUGAAAUAUGAGUCAAUUAUACAUAUAUUCUAGGGACUUUAGAAACUCCAAGAAAUAUUUUCACUAACCGUAAAAAUCUAAAUGUGAUAUCAAUGAUCUGAACCGUUCAUCUUUCUGCUUCUGCUAAAAUGUCAUGUUUUUGAAAAAGAAAAUCUAAAAAAUAAAAUUUAGUUAGAAGAAUGGAGCAGAAACAUGACAAUCAACGUUUAAAUUUAAAUCUAUGGUUUUAUAGGAUUAUGAUGGCGAAUUUCAAAGUUGACAUUUUCACAAAAAUUGUAGAGCUUGUCGUUAGGAGUGUUUAAAGAUAUAUUUCUUCACACUUCUAGAUUAAUUAAAAAUCUAUUAAAAAACCUUACUGCAACAAUAACCAUAGGAUUUAAUCUCACUCAUGUGAAAUAAAAUCCUUACCGUUGGAUUCUUUGAUCUCACUUACAUUUUUAGUAUUAUGUUUUUCUUAUGAUUAUUUAUUGGUUUAAAAUAUAUUUUUCUUUGACGGGUAACGGGUCGAGUCAUUUUAUUCGUUAGUAGUAAUGGAUCAAGUUCGAAACGAGUCAUGUUACCUGUUCAUUUUAACGAGUGAUACACGACACGAUCUGUUAAGUUAUCAGGAAUGUCACAAAAGUGACAUGAACACGGAACACAUGACAUAAAUGCCAGGUGUAAUAUUAUGUUUUAUUAGGGCUCGUUUGUUUGGCAUCACUAAGUCUCCUUGGAUUGGACUGGAUUAAUCUCUAGUGUAAUCCCAUGUUUGUUUUACACGGGAACUAAGUUUAAUGGGACUAGGGUGGACUCGCUUCGACUAACACCCGGAUUGGGCGGUCUUAGUGAGGGCCCCCGAAAACAUCAGGAUUGCUAAGACUUCGCUCGUCUGUUUCCACGGCUGCCCACAAGAUGAAGAAGGUAAGGGUUCAAAUCGCCAGGCUUCAGCUCCAAGAAGAGUGGGUCAGCCGGGUCUGGGUCUUGGGAAGCCUAAAGGGGCUAUGACGGUGGGUGAGCUGAUGAGGAUUCAAAUGGGAAUUUCAGAGGUCAGCUCAAUUUCUUCACUUUUUUUCUCGUUUGUGUUUUUCGUUGAUCUAAAUUUGAAGGGUUAUUUUUGUUUUGAUUUCUCUGUGAUGUUUGAUUUCUUAAAUGUUUAGUUGCUGGGUUAGUGGAUUGGAUUGCCAUCUUAAUUUGUGUAAUUUCAAUUUUGCUUGAUUUGAAAUUUACAACUCUAAUUGUGGUUGGGUUUUCGUGAUAUCUUCCGUUCCGUGUUUUCAUGUUCAAUUUCAGUGAAUUUCCUUCAAAUUUGGGGGAAUGUCAGCGAGGUGUUUGAUGAUGAUGAUUUCGUUAUUGUUGGUGAUGUGGACAUUGGGGAAGGUAAGCAAAGUGAGAAUGAUGAACUGGGCAGUGGCGAAUUGAGGAAGAAGAAGAGGAAGAAAGAAAAAGUUGCUGGCGAGUUGAAGGGUGAGAAAAGGUUGAAGAAAUCAGCUAAGGCGAAAGAUGAUGCUGAGUUAAAUGGGGAAAAUGUUGUUGGUGAGAAGAAGUUGAAAAGGUCGUCGAAGGCAGGAGAAGAAGAUGGUGCCACUGUCAAUCAUAAGAAAGAUGGGUUGUCCUUGAAAGAGAAGCAAAAAGAUGGUACAAGGAAGAAAGCAGAUGAUUUGUCGGCUCGAGGAUGAGAGUCUAUUGGAAAGAAAGAGAAGAGAAAGAGUAAAGAGUCUGUUGGAAAGAAGGAGAAAAGGAAGAGUGAAGAUGAAAUGUUGAAGAGCACAGAAGCAAACCUGAAGAAGGCCAAGAGAAGUAAGAAAGCAGCAGAGUGAUUCGGGAUAACAGGCUCCAGGCGAAUGACUGGCUUUGUGGUGGGAUUCAAUAGAUCCGGGCAAGUAUGGCUAUCAAUAUUGAGUCGUCUGGAGAAUUUUGAUUGUAGUGUAUUUUAUUCUGGUGUUGAAAUGAUGAUCUUAUUUGUUAGUUUAUGAGUUGACAUUGCCUAUUUACUUAGUUAUAACUUAUGGAGAUCAUACAAAAUGUUUACUUUGCCUAUUUACUUAGUUAUAACUUAUGGAGAUCAUACAAAAUGUUUACUUUUCCAUCGUGGUUUUUCUGCAGUCGCUUAACUUUGAAUUUGAACUGAGAUUGUGUCUCUAUGAGUCUAUGACUUAAACUUGCAUCCCCAUCUCCAAUUAUAAAUGAACCUAGCACUUCUUUGCAUUAACUUAAACUGAGAUUGUGUCUCUAUGAGUCUAUGACUUAAACUGAGAUUGUGUCACUAUUGUUUCUUCAUAUGAUUGACACCUCCUAAUUUCUAAUAUUUGUCAUAAAGUGAAUUUGAUGUAAAUUUCAUCUGCUAGUUCUCAGAGCUUUUACUGGAGUGGAUUUGAGAUAUAUAUGAAUUUCAUCUAAUAUUUGUUCUGCCAUUGUUGAAUUUCAUCUAAUAAUUUUUAUGUAUGUAGUCUAUGAUUGUAUGUGUCUGUAUGUAUGUAUGUAUGUACUCUGUGUGUGUGGGUGUGUCCUUCCAUAUGGGUAUGUUGAUUUUGGGUGUGUCCUUCCACCUGGUUCCAUAAUAUUGUUGGUAGUGCCAAAUUGCCAACGUAUAUAUUCUUAAUUAUGUUUUUUGUGAGUUUUAUAUGUAAGGAUGAUUUAACAUGCAGGCUCAUACGUCUAAAGGUGCAGUGGAUGGUGAAGGGCCAGCCUGGGCUCUCUUAAGAGAUAAUUACAUUCUCACAAAUCCCAAAUUGAAAUACUGGGAUAAGAUGCCGGUAAGGAUCUUUAAUCACAUCUUGUUAAGUGUUUCACCUGUCAAAGACACUCGCGUGCUCUCACUUAAACACGUGCGCGCAUACACAAUGCACUUCUAGUUGCUAUUAUGUAUUAUGGUGACACAUUGCUGUAAUUUGCAUACAGGACACCGUUGUGGAAGAUGACAUUGGAAGGGUGGCUGGAGAUAGUUACGAUGACGAUUGAUGUUGUGGAACUGCACAAACGACUAUGUGCUGAUUGUUUCCUAGGCAUACUUUUUGUAAACAUGACGUGUUAUCCUUGUUGCUACUGCACAAGAGGAAUUUUGUUUUCGAUUUUCAUUAAUGUUAUAAAUGAGUGCUCUAUGAUACGAUUAGCGAAAAUAUCCUGUUUUUCUUGCUUAUUAUGUGCAAAAUUUUCAUUUACCUUCAUAAGAUUUUGGAGAAGCAGCUCGCAGAAACAACGAAUUUAUACCUGCAGUUUGCGAGCAAAGCGGAAUGUGUAUUCACGUAGAUUACAAUAAUGUACAACAAAACACCAGAUUUCUUUUUAUUUUUUUUUUUGGAAAGAAACACCGGAUUUCUUAGCAUUCAAAAGGCGUAACCUGUAAUCCGAAGGAAACUACAUUUUAUCCUACAACUAAAAGGACGGUGCAAAAUUUAUUGACGUUAAGGAACUGAGACAAAAUUUAUUUUUCCAUAUAUUCAUUUUGAUAUUUUUAAAAAAUAAAUUAAAAUAUAAUAAUAAUAAUUUAUUGUUAGUCCAGCUUCUUAGUCCGAUACUGCACCAAACGCUUUACUAAGCUAGUCCAGCUUAGUCUAGUCUAAGCCAGUCCAGCUUAGUCCCUGAAGCUAGUCCAGUCCAAGACAGUCCGGUGCAACAAGCGCACCCUUAUGGUAUUAGAUAUUGUUAAUGUGAGAGCAUGAUUUUCCAAAACCUGAGUAAGGCAAACCGGAAUUCGAAUACUCAUAAGUCCGAUCAUGGACUCUAUAGCCUCCGCAACAAAGUUGAAUAAAUAGAGCAUCAAUGCCACUAUCAUUCUAUUCCGGAAUCAAUGGGCGAAGUCUGACGACUUCACUGAGAUUGACCAUGCUUUUCCCGCAAUAUACGUAAGCUUAAUCCAGCAAGGAAUCAUCAAGUUUUCUAUAAUCUUGGAAGUAAUCACACUUCUAAGAGGAUGCAAUAUCUACAUUCUAAAUAUCCUCUAAGAUUGUCUCAGUUUAAUACAGAUUCACUAUCCUAAAAUGUCUCAUCCUUGAAUAGUAUAAAUAUAUCAUUCUAGGGUUCAUCUUUGGUAAUGCAAUUAUUACAUACUUAUGCUCAUACCCACUGCUUGAGUCUUAUAUUGCUUACUAACUUGAUUGUUGGAGAGGCUUUAAUUAACACACACCCAUGUUCUUUGGCAAACUCAAGGUUAUGCUCGAUUUUACAAGUAAACAUAUUUGUGCAUCUUCAAUCUUCAUGGCGGUGCACGAAUUUGGUCCCAAGAAUUGGUGCUUUCAUUAAAAGUUAAUUCAUAUUCCUCCUAAUUAGACCAUUUUCCCAUACACAUGACUGAAAGCUCUGUUAAAACCAACGUUAACAUGGCACUAGGAUACAGUUUAACCUCAGAAACACCCAUUGCACUCAUUGGGAAUAAUUGUAUUCUAGACGCCACCACCAUUCUAAGGGCAAGCAACCCUGAUGUUACAAUCACCCCAGAGAGCGAUGAUGUUCCAAUCGCUGGAUCCCCUUCUACCAUAGAACAAGUUUGAGAGACUUUGUUGAAGAUCAACACCUCUGUUGAUAAGUUGUAAAAACCUUACACUGCUUCUCUGCGAAGAGUCACACAAACUUCAUGCACAUUAAGAAAUAUAUGAAGGCUCUAGAAAACUCCAACGAGACCACUCCACAUACCUAAAUUCCUAUCUUUUGUUAUGGUAACAUAAGUACUAGAACCCUAGAAAGACAGCCUUUCGUGCCAACUUCUACUUCGACCCUAGUAGACAUUGCUAAUCUGAGUACGUGACACGUCCCGAUCCCAAUAUCCCCAAAUACCAUGAUAGGCACGUGCUGGCCAAUACCCGAGGGUGACAACGCUAUUUAAAACAGGCAAGAAACUAAAAUAUGUAAUUAGAAGGUGAUAUACCAAUGUAGAAUUGUGUUCAAAGCAUACAACUACUAAAGAAUUAUGUGAAAGAAUUAUUAUAAAAGGUAUGAACAAAGGAAUGGGUCUUACCCUGAGAAUACUCGAAGAUCACUACGCAGAAGUGCCCUGAUGCCGAGAUUGUAUGCCUUAAUUCUAAAUCCUGAAGUGGGUGCAAAAUAGAAAAAGUGAAUGGACCAAAGUUUAUAAUAAUAGUGCUAAUAAUAAGAAAACCAUUCACUCCAUUGUUUUGAAAACAUAUAUAUAUAUAAUACUACAUAGUAGUUUUCCGAAAAGUCUACGUGCCAUGAAAACAUUUCUAAAACAAGUUCGAGUAAAACCAUGCUCAAUAAUGGUGCUAUCAUCGUCCGAAGGAAAAUCCAUAAAUCUCAUCAAUACUAUACUCUCUAGGGGUAUCAUAGUAGCCCGAAGGCAGUAUCUGUCCAUCAUCCGAAGGUGAAGUUGUACGACACUAGGAUACACCAGUAAAGAAACAUGGUAGGCCCUAUCACCCGAAGGUGAAACUAUACGACUCUGGGUUAUGCUAGAGAAGAAAUAUAUAACAUCACACAUUGACACUAGCCUCGGGCUAGUGAAGAUGGGGGUAUAUCAUCAAUAUCAUCAACUUAUCAUUCACCCAAAGGCAGUACAUGUCCAUCACCCGAAGGUGAAGUUGUACGACACUAGGUUACACCAGUGAAUAAACAUGGUAAGCCCUAUCAUCCGAAGGUGAAGCUGUACGACUCUGGGUUACGCCAGAGAAGAAAUAUAUACAUAGAUAUCUUCAACAGUGUCUUACAGUUAUAGACAUCUACAUACCCGAGUUGUGUGGAUGUGUUGUGUGAUAACCUGUUAGAUAAGUAGGGGAUUAAAUCAACUUCAGAGGGCAAUUAUUUAUCCCUAAAAGAAAAAGAGAAAGCUAGAGGAUAUUUUUUCCUCAUCCCCUAGCACUCUUCUUUGCUUGCUCGUGCAAAGAACCAUCUUUCGUUGAUUUCUUUAUCUUAUCCGCGCCGCACCAAUGUAAGAAAAACUUAAUUUUCUUUGUCUUCUUCUUGGGUGGUGCUUCCAUGGGGCAGCCAUCGGGGUGGUGCGGUACGUCGGCUGGUAAAGGCCAGAAGUCGACUUGGCAUAAGCCGAGGAGGUGGUGUGGCAGGGGCCACAACUUAUGCUGCUCGGCUUGAUUAAAGCCAAAUGCUGGCUCGACAUGGGACGAGGAAGUAGCGUGCAUAAGCCACGGUUUGGGCUACCACGUCUGGAAUGCUUGCCAAGAAUGAGGAAACUGCUUAAAUUUGAUUUUUCAACUGCCGUAGAUAGAGCAAUCAAGGACGGAGCUACCUAGAUCGGAGCUACUGAAGAUGAAGUGUUGGAUGAGCGAACUGUUGAGUGCGAAGUGGCUGCUGCCCCUUACUAUUUACUGCUUAGCUGGUCUUCGAGUAUUCGAUCUUUAAAGUUAUGUGUCUUUCUCACACUGGAAAACAAUUAGUUUGUCUUCUUGUACUAGAGAGCAGACCCAUAUAGGUCUCGGAGAAUUAGUUUACCCUAUCGCACUGGAGAACAAUUAGUUUAUCCUCUCGCACUAGAGAGUAGACCCAGAUGGGAAAUUAGUUUACCCUCUCGUACUGGAAAGCAAUUAGUUUAUCCUCUCGCACUGGAGAGCAAACCCAGAUGGGUGUCGGGGAAUUAGUUUACCCUUUCGCACUGGAGAGCAAUUAGUUUAUCCUAUCGCAUUAGAGAGUAGACCCAGAUAGGUGUUGGGGAAUUAGUUUAUCCUCUCGCACUGGAGAAUAGACCCAGAUGGGUGUCAGAGAAUUGGUUUACCCUUUUGCAUUGGAGAGCAAUUAGUUUAUCCUUUCACACCGGAGAGCAUACCCAUAUGGGUGUCGGGGAAUUAGUUUACCACCUCGCACUGGAGAGCAUGAAAGUCAUUGUUAUGAGUGCAACUGAGGAAAACUGGAUUGCUAGACAACUGAAAUAAUCCUCAACCUAUGAGGUCUUGUUUGGCGAUCUGCUUGAAACUUCGAACUGUUUGUUGAACCCGUGUAAAGGUGUACAUGGGAAGCGCAGUGACCUGCUUCCAUACUUUUAUCAAGUAUUGCACCAUCAUUAGAUGUUUCGUCGUAUGCCCUUUUAAGUCUUGGUUGGUGAUCAGCUGAGAAUCUGAAUGGAUUGCAAGCUUCUUCACCGCUCAGUCUUUCAUUAGUAAGGGCUACUAAUAAAGCCUUGUCUUCUGCUCCGUCGUUGAAUGCUUUAAAGUUUGGAGUGCCAUUGGCUUGGUCAGCGAGAGCCACAUGGAAAGAUUGGCACGGUUGGGAGCCGUGGUGGUAGAUCGACACAGUUAGGAGCCAUGGUGAUAAAUCAAGGGUUGCGGGGAGCCGUGGAGCAAGUAGGCACGACUACGAGCGCAGAGCUAGGGCUGGCUUGGGCCAGGUUAUGCGCAACAUGAGGAAUUGAACCAUUAGGUUUGUGAUGCUCACAUAUUGGUGAUUUGUUGUUUCAGUAUUGAAUAGUCUGAAAUGUUAAGAACAAGGCAAGCCUUUGAUUCUUGGUAGUUAGGUUGGUGUCAUUCUGGUACUCGUUUACCCCCAGAGCGCCAUUAGAUUGAGUUUUUUGUAUCCGACAAUCUAUGUGGGAUAGUCUCGUCUGCCCAAUCUUGUCAAUGAAAGGUGACCUGCUUAUGUUGGUCAUGUCUCGUUGGAGCGCCUCGUCAGUAUCUUCGUUGCACUGGAAAUCGCGCAAUCGUUCGGUUAAGAGCCUAUCAACUUCUUCCUGAAUUUUCCUCUAGUAGGGCAGCAGAGCUUCCGACAGUCCCCGGUUGUGACUUGUUAGUCUAGGCUUUUCUUCCAUAUGCUCGGCUUAUCUAUGUUGCGAUUAUGGUGCAUGUGGUAUGUUCUUAGUAGGCAAGCGAAUUACUUGCAAGCUGUUAGUUGAACUUAAGCCAGAUUGAGUGACUACUUCUCUCUGUCCGUCGUGUUGCCUAUUUCGAUGUGAGGUGGAUGACGCUCCUUGCAGGCCUAGCCGUGAAUUAACACUUCACCUGGAAGGUUUCUCAUGUUAAAUAUCAGAGUGUGGCCCCAACCGUGAAUGUAUGCUCGUAUGUGGGCCUAACUGAGGGUGCAUGCUCAUCCGCGUUCUAAGACGAGAGUAUAUGCUAUCUCAGGGUCCUAGUUGGGAAUGUACACUGCCAGAAAGCUCAGUUUGUGAUUGGUUGAGUGGUUGCUUGUUAGGACAUUGUUGAAGAGGUUCGUUGUCUGCCUUUGUCCUACUUCGGGACACCUCAUAUAAGGCACGCUGCAUCUCGAUAUGUUGCAAGAGUUGAUUCGCCAAGGUAGUCUAUUGCGCGAGGGCGCUUGCCAACUCUAUGACUUGUCGAGACAAGUGUUGUUGCCUUUUAGGGUGGAAGAGCUUGGACGGUAUACGUUUCCUUGAGUAGUGGAAGUGUAAUAGACUCCGGACAUGAGAUUUGAGUUAGGAUAUGUCAAAUAUGUGGAUAAAUGGGGUGAAAAUACCCCUGGUUCAAUCGUUGGUCUAAAAAUCUAAAGUCGGGAUGGUUAAACCGACCACUGGUUGAUUGCUUAGUGGGCCACGGUAGUAAGUUGGGCCACCGAAAUGGGUCGAGUCAUGGGAGCGGGCUGAACCUCUGGUGUGGGCUGGGCCAUAAAAGCACGGGUGCACUGGGUCUCCUCUCUCAUCGACGUAACUUGGGACGGUUGCUGUUCGGCACUAGCCUGGGCUUGGUGUUGCUUUGUGGCGUAAGCCUGGGUGUGCCAAGCUGCUGCUGUUGGAGACUGGGCUUAGGCAUGCUCCGGGGCCUGGGCUAUUGAAAUGGCAGCAAGCUGGCCUAACUCCGAGGAUUGCGCAUCUUAAGUCGUGGCCUGAUGGUCUCACUGCCAUGAAGCUGGCCCACUCAUCACUGCCAUAGUGGUCCUCGUGGUUGCCAUGAUGGUGGUGCUCCGUGGUGGCAAAGUUGGUCAUUUUGCCACCGCAUUGAGCCUCGUGGAUCGUCGUGGUUGGGUUACGUCUCGUCCUCCAUCAUUUGAUCCGAAUCUUUGAACCUAGGAAGUUCCGUUCGUCGUGUUUUUGAAUUUCCGGUCAUUGUAUUUUUCCCUUACCUCUAUUCAAAGAAUUAAAAAAAUUUAGGAAUAAGAAAGUAUGAAAAAAUUUACGAACGAACGAGAAAUGAGAAACUUUGAAUGCGAGAGUCUUCUUCGAGAAUGUGAAUCAAACUCUCAAUGAAAGCACCAAUUUGUGGAUGCAAAUUUUCGACGUCUUCUCUGUUGAUGAAAAUGCAAUUGCAAAAUAAUAACACCUAAGAUUAAGGCCAAAAGCCUCACGGGCCCACGAUGAAUGGGGGGCUUUGGCUGAAGAAUCUCCGAUGCCAAAGUUAGAAUUAGAGAAAGUGUUUAGAAAUUUUUUGGAAGAGAAUGAACUAGCAUUUUAGUGGGAAAGCAUGACUAUUUAUAGGGGAGUGACCGGCCCUAUUUAGAGAAUAGGGGCUGGCCACAUAUGGUCAAGUUGUGAGUGUAAUUGCAAGAUACUAAGUGAAAUAAUAUCUUGCAAUUAACUUGGCUAUUAAUCGCAAAUUGAAUAGGAAAAUUGGGAGUUACCUUUUGAGUGAGGAUUUGAUGAGGAGUGAUGAGAGGGUUUUGAAUAAAAUAUCAUUUUGAUCACCUUUGACUUUUCCUUGAUUGAGCUGUUAUUGUUUGUUGCAUGUGCGUGUGAAUACCGGUGUGUCUCGAGGGUAAUUUUAUCCUUUUAACACAAAAGUACAUGUGUCGCCUCCAUAAUUUUCUUGAUUAUUUUUUUGCUCCACAGACAUAUUAUACGAUAUCCUACACUAACUGUUACUAGAGUAAGCUGGAUAAUAUUAUUAUGUCAUCACUGAGUAGUCUCGAAGUAAUGACAAGCUAAGUAUAAUAGUAUAAUCAUGUUAUUACGAAGUAAUCUUGCCAUAUUGACAAGCUGAGAGUAUAUCUGUAUAAUCAUGUCAUUACAAAGUAAUCUCGACGUACUGACAAGUUGAGUAUAACUAUAUAAUCAUACCAUUACAGAGUAAUCUUGACGUGAUAAGUUGAGUAUAUAACAUACACGUGUAAGUGAAUCUCAUGUCGUAAACAAGCUAAGUAUAUAUCAUACACGGGCAAGGUGGAUGUUAUGUCAGUAGACAAGCUAAGUAUAUAUAUUGUACGCGUGUAAGCUGAAUAUGACAAUUGUAAGCUGAAUAUGACAAUUGUAAGCUGGUACAAUACUCUAAACCUGUGCAGGGUAUGUUUACCACAAGAUAAGUAAUAAUAGAGAAAUCAAUAUUUAUAUUUGUCUAGGCACGCUUAAAAUUUAAUAGAGAAACAUUUUUUAAAGUAAAAGUCUACUCACACCUUCGACUAGCUCUCUUCGGAGGAGCCUUGUCUUUGCCAGUUGGUAAAGUCUGUACCCAGCCCAAUCACAAAAAUGUAACGUCUCGAACUCCAAGAUGUGGUAUCAAUUAAUUUUUAUUUAAUAUAAUGGUUACAUCUUUCGAGUUAAUCUCCUUACAUACUCUAAGAAUAGAUCAAGCUAAUCGUAGUUCAUCGAGAAAUUCAACAUACACUACAUAAUGUGAGGGGCAAAUGAUGGAGACAUCUUAACCACAUUAGAUUUAGAAUUACAUUAAUGCAGUUAUCCAACAUGAAUAUCUUUUUGGUGGACUUGCUGUGCUGUAUGAUAUCUCCACAUGUUGGCCAAAACAUCGGCAACAAUUCCAUUUUACAAGUAUGAACUUACUCGUACAAAUUGGUCACUAAUCCCCUUAUGCUAAAUAUGUCCACGCAUGGUACCACAGUUCUUGCACUCAAGAUCCUUAACGUUCGAUUAUCUCAUUCUCUAAUAUCGUUUGUAUAAAUAAAACACUGAUCCGUACCUAGAGAAAAUUUUUAGACCGCAUUUUUUUUUUCUUAUUUGUUAUAAUUUUGUUGUGAAACCCUAUCAACAUCCAUAUUGACUGUGUUUGAAGCACUAUCGCACUGUCGUUUAUAGGGAGGCAGUCCCCAAGAGUUGGACACAAAUGCAAGACAUACAACACUCACAAACAAAAAUUUAAGCAAGAGCUCAAAUCAAAUCCACAAUUUCAGGGAUAAUUUUGAACUCACAAAAUAUUUUCACCGUUAGAAUUGAAUUAAGUAACAUUUUGUGUAUUCAAAAAGAGCGUUGGACCAUGGCACCAGGAUGUCCAAAAUGACCUAAAUGCCCUCUAUGUGUAAUCAUGUCAAUUGCUUGACGUGCACAAAUUUUGUUGAACUUGGAUUAUCUCCCCUCGCAUCCCCUCCUUUUCAAUCUAGACCGCUCAAAAGAAAUCUGAUGGCUUGAAAUUGUCCCACAUAUUUAAUGAGCUUAAUUUUAUUUUUUAUUGCUUUUUUUCAACAAUUCUUCCUCUUCUCCACUCAUGUUCACACCACCAUUUACUUUCCUUCUUAUACAUGCUAGUCAUGAUUGGUUCCUCAAGUCGAUCUUGAUGCCGUAACAGAAAUUAACAGUUAUCUCGAAGGUCUCAAAGAUAUUGGGGAUGUCGGAGGGAAAUCUUGAAUUAGAUUGUCGUUCUCAUUGAUUUGUUCAACAACCCUCACAUGCGUUAUACAACAAGACUGGAUGGGAGGGAGAGAAAUAGGAAGAGAGAGAAUGCUCCUCCAAUUUGAUUUCAACAUAUGUCAACGAAGACACAUUACCCCUUGAAGAAAAUUUGAAAUUUAUCAAACCACAAAAAAUGUAUUAUGUUUCAACGUAUCUUGUGAAUCUAAAUUUUCGACUGCUAAAUCUUGGUCAUUGAAAUGACAAUAAAUUCCAAAAUAUGAGAUAUACAACAACAUACUGGAAGUUUCUAUCAAACCAUGCCAAAACAUGAGGACAUUAAACCGAAAACAACUUACAUUUAACGAGUUCACUACCAUCAUAGUGUCUCUAAAAAUACAUUUUUAUAUGAAGAAAAUCUUACACAUAACAAUGUAUCAUUAAACCGUAACGCCACACAGUCGUGAACGCUUUCAAUUUUACUCUCUCCAUCAAACCCUAUAAGUCAAAAACAAAAAUUUAAAAGCAAAUGUUAAAAUCAGAAAGGGGUCAGAGAAGGAAGGUCCAAAAAAGGCACUGAAACUGAAAGGGAAAGGAGUGCGUGGUGCCCAGAUCGGCAGAUGGAUACCAUUCAAAUGGAUUUCAGAAGCCAUGUGAGGGACUGACUCUGUGGCCCUUCCUUUAUAUAUUAACCCUUGUUUAAAACAAAAAUUACAAAAUAAGACAAAGAGCCCUCCAAAAGUAACCCCCUUUACUCGCAUGAAUGGAAACAACUACGACUUUUCCUUCUUUUGUUAUUAUUUUUACCCCUCCUUUUUGUCAUAAUUUUCCAAAUGCGCAUAAAGUUUUAUUUUCUUUUAUGUUCAAACAGCCUGCUCAUAUAAUGGAGAAGAGAUCAUUUCCAAAUCUUUUCUACUAAGAUCACCAGAUCAAGUGAUCUGGACAUUUGAAAUUUCAUUCAAUAAUUAAAAAUUAUUAUAACUUUUAAAGGGUUAAAACAGAUAGACCGUUGAAUGAAAUUUCAAAUACCCGAAUCACUUGAUCCGAUGAUCUUGAUGAAAAAGAUCCAGAGAUGAUCUCUUCUCUGUAUAAUGCAAUUGUAGAUUAAGCCUAAAGAUGGAGCCAGAGGGACUCGGCUUUUUACCCUCCCUCCACUGAGUCAUCUCCUCCGCUGCUUUUUACUUUUGGGGGCUCCAUUUCAGUACAAUUGUUAUGCUUCUGCUACACUUGCUCACUACUUUAUUGGCUUUCUACAAAGAAGAUUUUUUUCCCUACUAAUCUCUAUGUUCUUCAUUUUCUUUUUACUUGAACGGCUACGUUAAAACAAACUACGUUAACAUCUUAUAUUAUUUUUUUAAUAAAAACACAAAGCCAAAAAACAAAAUGUGAAAGAAGGAGAAGAAAGAAGAGAAGACAAAAGGGGAAAGAAACCUACUCCAUCUACAACAAUCACCUCUCAAUCUGAUUCAGACUUUUCAUCUCUCUAGCACAAAAAGGAGAGCCCCUUGAAUCGAACAUGUACAGUCUCAUAGUAAUUCGUGACAUUCUAAUUUAAUAAUUUAUCUUCAUGCCGAAUAAAAAAACUUACAUAUAAUUUUAUAUUUAUUUACUUAGCCAUAAACCGGUUACAUAUAAGUCUGAAGUGGUAAAAUAAAAAAGAAAACUAAUGAAAAGGAUUUGAAAACUUUGAGCUUUAAUGAUAAGGACAAAAUAAAGGAUAAAGUGAAUAGUACCAGGAUUGACUUUUUAAUGUAAAAAUAUGAUUUUUCGUUAAAGUGAACAGUACCGGAUAUUUUUCGUUAAAGUUCUCAAAAUAAAAAGAUAAGUAACCUAAAUUAAAAUAUCAUAUGAAAGUUGAUAUGUUACAUUGUUACAGCUUGCUUGCUUGCUGUGCUCCAGCUAGCACAUACCUACGGAGAUAGGGCAGAGAGUACUGAAAUAGACCCCACUCAAAUAAAUCAGUCCAUCUGUUCUUUUAUGUAUACAAUUAGGUAUUAUUAUUCUAAAUAGUAUAGAUCCAUACAUACAUACAUAUAUAUAUAUAUAUAUAUAUUAAUGACAAUAGUGAUCUUGCUGAGAUCUUGUCUACAAGUUUGCUUUGAUAUAGGUAUAUGCUUUUGGCUAUAUAGCUAGAUGAUCUUUUUCUUCCGUUUGUAAUCCUUCUCAAUUGUUUCUGCAAAUUAAGAAAAUAUACAAAAUGUAAUUACUACCAAGAACGAGGGAUUUUUUAUGGUGCUCCGGAGUGUUCUUUACUCUGAAUUUUAAACUGUUAAGUACUGAUCAAGAUUCUUGUUCUAGAGUAUAUAGAUACUCUGAAGCACCAUAAAAUUUUCCCAUGAGUGAUCACUUUGGCUAGAAUUGUGUAUAAUAAGCUUAUAAGAAUCUUGCAAGAGAUUGAAAUGUAUGCUUACCCUAGCAGUAGCAAAGUCAUGUCUCCCCCAAUGCUGCCCAUGCUUAACUUUCUUAAUUACAUUCCAAAAGAAAACCUAAAAAGUUAAAAUUAAUAAUUUGUUUAUUUUUUUAUUUUUUGAUCUUUAUAUGGAUCAUAGUAGUAGUAAAGCAAAGCAUAUGUCUAUGUGUGUGUUUUUGUUUGUAUUUUGUUAUACGGGGAAAGAAGAAGCGACAGUACCUGGACAUUUGGAAAGAACAGAUUUUGGGGAAUCUGCAUUUGGUGUAGAAGUGGUGGGCAGUAAAUUAUUAUUAAUAUUGUUAGAAGAAAUGGUGGUGGUUCUGGUGAUGCCUUCGGUAUUGACUUGUGCAGAAGCAGUAGUUGAGAAGACAUUUAUUUGGUCUCCAGCAGCUGAUUUCUUUGGAGAUGCAAAUAGGCUAUCAGGGAGAAUGUGCUCCAUACUGCUUUUCAAAUAAAACAAUGAAUUAGCAUUGAUUUGAACAUUAUAUAUUUAUUCAGAAUUUAAUUUGAAGGUUAAAUUUAUUCUGAGCAAAACCUUUCAUGCAGGCUAAAAUCAUCGCCAUUGUUAUCUUCAGUUCCAUGAUUAAAAGUUGGAUUCAUCUCCUGCUGCGGUUUUUCAGCUUCAUCAUAUUCUGCAAGAACAUGCAAUGUGAACAAGGCAUAAAUGAAUUAAGCACCACUAAUUGGAAAUGGAAACCGAUUUCAACACACCCUUUUUCUCUUUCUGCACACAGCUUACUCCCGACCAUUGAGUCUCCUAUAAUUUACUCAGUACAAUUAUAAAAAAUAAGCAGGGGUGUGCAUGUGGAUAAAAAGGGUGUGCAAAUCACUUCCCUUGGUAAUGCAACUAUCUUUCUGCAUCAACAACUCUAGAAACACAUUGAUUAGCAAACCUUGUGGGACUUCUUCAUUAUUGCCUCUAGGUGAAAAAUUGAAGAAUUGAUUUUUGGAUGCAUGUGACAAAGUGGGUGAAGGAAAUGGAGACCCUUCUGAUAAACCGUUGUAGUACUGAUUCUGAUGAUGAAGAUUGUUGGGUUUGAUGCCUAGAAGUUGGAGGUUCAUAAGUCUCCUUUCUUGGAUUUCAAUGGCUUGCUGCAACUUAGCCUGGUCCUCUAAUUUCCUUCUCAAAAGCAUGUCUUGUGUAUUGUAAAACAUUCUUGAUCCUACAAAGACCUCGAAGAAAAUAAGAUUAAUAGUGAAUCCUCAUUUUACAUGAGCUGUUGUAUACCAUCAAAGGACCAUGUUUUCUUACCAGGAUUGAGAUCAUAAUGCUCUCUCGAAUCGAUGGCAGACAGGCUUCUACACAGAUGGUAGUCUUCCCUCUCAAACUGUUGGUGUUGUUGCUUCCUGCAAUUGUCAAUUCAAAGCAAAAUUAACAAUGUGGAAGGAGGAAGGCACAAAUUGUAAAAGCAAAAACAAAACCAGAAGACUCAAAAAUGCACGACUUACUUGUCUGGGAUUUUGCCCUUCUCCUUGUAAGGCUUCACAAGCACCCGAGAAUCGCAUACGAAAUGAGGAUUCCCUUUCGCCAAAAUGAUCUUCACAGUCUCGGAGUAAACGAAUGUAACAAAUCCAAACAUCCUCUUUUGCUGGUAUGGAAUCCUCACAUCUUGCACUGGUCCAUAAAUGCUACAAAACCACACAAGUUCUCAGUUUUAAGUACUUCAUCAGGUUGCUAGAAGGAAAAAAGAAAAACCAUUUAAUUACCUAAAAUAAUUAGAGACAUCUUCUUCUCUAAAUGUACUAUCAGCUGGAAAUGUCAAGUAGAUCUGCCUUGAACUGUGAUUGGCAUUUCCUCCCAAAUUUAAAGUCGAAAAGUCGUUUCGAUCAUGUUGGUAUCUCCCAAACUUGUGAACUUCAUCAGCCAUCAUCAAUGCAGAUGCUGCUGACCUGAAAAAAACACAUGAAAAAUCCAAACAAAAUUCAUUUAGAGGCAAUAACUUUAUGCACAAGUUAAAUUUAGUAAGAACCAAGCUUGAAGUACAUUUUAUUAGAUUGUGGUCAGUUUUUUACUGAAAAAUUGCAGCGGAAAGCAUGGAAAGUUAAAGAUGACUUGAUGAUCUGCUUUAUUCGUAAAACUGAAGCGAAACACAAAGUAGAUCGGAACAUCAUACCCCAAAUGAUUCCGGAUAAACAACCAAAAACUGUAAAUACAUUUUACUACCACUUUAGUUAAUAUUACAAGUAUAUAUAUAUAUACCUUGGAGAGUCAUUUUGUUGUUGCGUAAGAAAAUCCAUGCACUUGUUGUAUGGGAAAGAGGAAGCAUCACCACCGCGGCCAGCCAUGAACUGUGACACUGCAGCCAGUUUCUGCUGCUGAGCAGCGGCAUUGGAUCUGAUUAUCUCCUGGCACUGUUCAAUCACAUUGGCAUUGCCUGGAGAAACAACAUUAACUGAGCUGCCGCCGUGGAGAAAACGGCAGGUGCUGCCGUUUUUACAGAACCCUCUUGAAUAAUACAAACAUGGUUUCCAUCCACCCCCAGAAUUCAAAUCUUCAGAUCCAUAAAACAAGUCAUCAGUUUUUGGAUCACUGAGAAAAGAAAGAUUGCUCUGAAACUGAUAUUUGUCACCAACUUCGCUACUAGAAGCACAGAGAGAAGUAGGGUUAGUGUUUUUGGUAAGAAUAUUGGCAUAAGACGGAGAAGAAGCAGCAGAGGGGCUCACGGAAUUGGAGAGGCUCCAAAGGGUUGAGGAAGAAGAGUAGGAGGAGGAGGAGAGGGACAAAGGGGUAGGCCUAGAGAUGGGGGUGAAAGUAGCAGAAGUAGUGGUAUAAGUAGUAGUAGGGUUGUCGGAGGGAACAAGGGAGAGUUGGGUUUUGGCGUUGAGGAUGAGAUUGUGCAGGAGAGUUUCUGGUCCAAAUGCCAAGCGUAUCAUCUCCUUGUCGCCAUGGUCUUGCAGCAGAAGGUACCCCAUGAUUUUUGAGGCAUUUUCUGGAUCCAAGCUUUGGAUCCUUGAGAAAACAAUCUUGGUAGCUUCAUAAGAAUCCAUGGAGAAAAACAACACAAACAACUUGAAUGUGUGUUCUAUAGAGAGAGAUUGAGGGGGAAAGAGAGAGAGAGAGGAGUGGAUCAGUGGAGUGAAGCUGGCCCUUUUGUUUUUAUAUAUACACAUAUACGUAUAUGUACAUACAAUAAUAAAAAGAAGGGGAGCAAUAAUGGGGCGGAUGAUUAUUUUAAUCUGAUGAUUGUUUUUGGGUAUACAAAAGGGGAAGGAGAUCCUGAUCUAUUCCAUCUAAUCAUUUUCAUUAAACAAUUUGAAUUUUUAAAAUUUGAUUUAAUGGCUAAAAAUAUAGAUCUAUUUUAAAAAUUAUAAUAACUUUAACUAUAUGAUCAAAUUUCAAAAAUCCAAAUUAUUUAAUGAGAAUGAUUAGGUAGAAAGGAUCUGAAGAGAAUCCCUUUCCUACAAAAGGAGAGGCAAAUGUAUGAGUGAGUAGGUGAAGUUUUUAUUUAAGGACUAGAUUAAGCUGUGCUGGUUUCAACUUGAAGAUGAGUUGGUGGAACAAAGAAGAAAAGAGAAAGUAUCAAUUCAAUUCAAGGGUGCUUUGAUGACAGCGCAAAACCUGCACAAGCUACAGGCUGCACCCUUGGGAGAGUAAACUAGCUCUCACUGACUCACUCACUCACUCACUCGUUACUUUCUCUGUCCUCCAUUAUUUCUCUCUCUCUCUCUCUCUUGAACAUAGUAGUUUCAAGGUUUUGUUGUCUUUACACAAAGAGACAAAACUAGACAAAGUGGGAGAACUGAAAAUUUCCUCUCGUGGCAAAAAAAUAGAAAUUAAUUUUUGUGUUCAGAUCCAUUAGGAAUCAAAUUCAAAAUUAAAAGUUCCAAUAAUUCUUUUGUUAAUGGGUUGCACGUGCCUCAUAUGUGAGCUAAACUUGCCAUUCCCCCGCACCCUUCAUUUUUGUACUGAGAACAAAGAAAGAAAGAACUGAAAUCUUCUCCACCAUCAUGCGUCACCCCCAAGUUUUCCCAAUCAAGAUCGACGUACCCCGCAGUCACAGCCAAUUGUAGCUGGUUGAUCCAACCAAGGAGACCAAUCUUUUACGAUCCAUCAUGUCAAACCAAUUAUCAGUCAUAUUUUUCAUUUUGCUGGUCCAACCAAGGAGACCAAACUGUUAACAUCCACCAUAUCAAACCAAUUAUCAGUCGUAUUUUUGGUUUUGCAGGCGUCACUUGCUUUGGAUUGGGAUUGUUCAUAAGAGGCCUAGUCGAUUUCAGGUGGUAGAGAGAGAGCGUGUAAGAUAAAACAUAUUUUUAGAAGUCGUGUUCUUCAUGCAUUCAACUAAUGUAUAUGCAGUUACAAAUACAGAGAGUUCAAACAAGAUUACAACUCUUCCUAAUAAUAUUUGAUAUGUAUAUCCGCAAAUGACAAAUAUUUGAAUUCAAGCUAUAACAAAGUCGUAGACCCGAUUUGGAAACAAGAGAGGAGGAGUAGUGACACGCUCCGAUCCCGAUGUCUGAAGGACAACAGGAUGGCCACGUGCUGGCCGACAUCCGAGGGGGACAUAAGCCAUUUCAUGAAUGCAUAUGCUGAGAACAUGUGAAAAAUGCAUAUAAAUUUCGCCACAACUACGCAAUGUAAUAUUCAAAUACAAACCUUACAAAAUAAUAUAAUAAUAUUCAACUCCAAUAAGUAUAUAAAAAAAAAAAAAAAAGGUAUAAUAAAAAAGUGUUAUUAUGAUGCAAGUAGUUCAUGCGGAGAGGUAUAAUAAAAAGUGCUAUUACAAGAGUUGUCAAACGCAGAGAGGAGGACACGAGUUCACUGAUAUAGGAAUGCCUCGUAGCUCGGAUCGUAUGUCUCGUUUCUAGGUCCUAAAGGGGUGCAAAACAAAACAUGAAUGAACCAAGUUUAUAUAUAUUGUCACAGCCCGUUCCGGAGAUAUUGUAUUAUUUAUCUCGAGGACGUGAAAUUGACGGUUUUAUCCUUAGACGGCAAAUUGUAGUGUAUGUGUGUGUGACAUAUUUGGUUAUUUGGUUGUCAUGUUCUUGUUGGUCGGUUCGUGGGACCACUGUGGAGACACACACACACACACAAACCUCAUCUCUCUUCUCUCCCGUGCUCUCUCUUUCAGACUCUUUCUCUCUCCUUCUUCUUCGUGCUGACGACACCCAAAACCCAUUGAAACGUGACAGAUCGAGGGUGUGAAACACACCAUUGUGUUCGUGAGGACCAUACGAGUUCAAAGGUACCAUUUUCAGGUAAAGAACACCUUCGAAAUCACGUUGAAAACUCAAACCCGAAUGAGGUACUGUUCAUGCACUAAUUGUUGUGAGGUUUUUAGGGGAUUUCAAGCUCACAUGGAGGUUUAGAAGGUUGUCACGAAGCUCAGGGUGUAUCGUUAGAGUGUUUUGGACGUGGGAUAGUGAAUUUCAACCUUGGGGCCGGUUUUUUCUUGAAUUUUCCCGACUAGAUCCCGUGUUUUUUUUUUAGGUAGAAGAGGUAAACUUGUUCUAUUUCUUCAUGCACUUCAUUUUAGUAUAAAAUAUUGAAAAAUGGUGCAAAAAUGGCCGAGAUUUCAUGGUUUAAAAUUUCCAGUUUUCCGGUCGCCGUGACGGUCGCCGGAGUUAGAAGGUAAGAGAACAACGGAAUCUUCCGUCAAGUCUUGACGGAUAUUUUUCGAUGUCAGUUAGUUUGGACAGCUUCCGUUAGGUUACACUUUACUUAACGGAAGAUUAUAUAUACCUGACGGCCGCUGUCGUGGCCGCUUAUUGCCAGUGCCGUUGGCUUGGCUAGCGUGGCCGGCAUUGGGUGGUCGGAAAAUUAUUCUAAAAAAUGGUGAUGUUAAGUGGAGUGUGUAGAGUACUUUGAUAUAUUCAAACACCUCAUUUGAGCAUUGUAUAGAAGUUAUUGCUUAUUGUGCUUAUUGGCUUAAUUAUAACGUUUUUAUAGUUAUCCAAUAUAGAUUAAGACUUAUUCUGAGGACGAGCGCGUUGAAGGAGACUUGGGGCUAAGGACCUUUCGACUAGCCUCUAGUGAGACUGGACUUUUGGGGUUUUUAGUGUUAUUAUAUACUGAUUUAUUUUUCAGUGAAGUUUAAGUUAUGGUUUUUAAAAGUAAAAGUAUGCCGUAAAUAUUAAGCAUGCCAUAUAAAUUUAUAUUUCGUAUAUGAAUUGGUAUAUGAUGCAUUAUAUAUAUAAUGUGGUGUUGUGAACACUCAGGUAAGCUCAAGUGAUUAUGUUUGGUUAUGUGAAUAUGAAUGGUGCGAUAUGUGAUUGAAUAAUGUUGAAGCUCAUAGAACUGCACCGGUGAUUGGGUAGCACAAUGCCUGUUUAUUAUGAUUACCCCCGCACGAUAGUGAGCAUGGUGCACAUGUCAUGUCGUAUAUCUUAGGUGGUUCCACUAUUAGUGACUAGCUAAAAAAUCCUAGCUCAGCUAUUAGUGUAGAUAUAUUUGAGCAUGAAUUAUCACUACACACAUUAUGUGUACAUACCUUUUCAUUGUGGUUCCAAUCUUGUGCAGUACAAUGUCGUAUGGUCUUGUAACUAUCCGGCUACAUUGAUUUUGAGCUAUGAAUUCAGCCAUCCAAAUAUUACCUAAAGGCGGCUAACAUGAUAUUUAAGACAUGAAAUUAUUCUCACCUGCUUAUAAGUUAUCUUACAUGGCAUACAUUAUGAAUAUGAUAUUGUACAAGCAUGAUUUGAGAUUAGUAUAUAUUGCUUUAUCUUCUGAAUUCUGGGAAAACAUCAUUAGCGCGAGGCAUCUGUUGAUAAAUGAAUGGUUUUGUAAAACAUUUGUGUUUUGCCCUACCACUCACUGUUUUCUGUUUGCGCAUUCCAACAGAUUUUAGGUAAGCUUGUUGUCGGUGGCCUUGAGGAUUUCGGCUCUGACCUAUCAAAAAUAAUUGUAGGCGUAUCUGGUACUUGACUUACUAUUACUCCUACUGGACUGCACUAUAGAUUAUCUAUGCUUGAUUGAGAGUAUUUCUAUUUGUAUCUUUACUCUUAACGCUUCUCGCUUUUCUAGUGCACUCUAAGUAGUUGGUUUUAAUUAUCUCCUUUAUUUCUUAUCUUAAUGCUUCCGAACUUAUACGUCACCCUCGCCGUGCACUAUUGAGGUCAACAAAGUGCCUACUGAUCCCUUCUAUGGCUAGCAAAAUAGAUUUUUAGUCAGUGGUAUUUGUAUACUAGUAAUACAUACUUUAUACUUCAUAUACAACAAUAAUGUAUAGUCAGUUGAAAACUCAUAUAGAUAAUAAGUAAUAGGUUUUCGACUCCGAAAGAAUUAAGCUCAUAAACCCAUAAUGCUAUUAUUGUGUGCUUAGUAGUGUAAUCAUAUCAUAUAUAAAUAUAUCUUUCGCUUAUCACUGUUGUCCAUCCGCUAAAGGCAUAUAUAAUCUUCUCCGCGUAGGCACUAUCCAUGAAACAGCCACAUGGCAUAUCAACAAGCAAGCACAGAAUAUUAUGAACAUAAUAUUUCAAAAUAUUUCGAGCAAAAUUUCAACGCUCAUCUCAUAUAAUCAUUUUAUUUAUUAAUAUUUUGGUUGACAAUCGAUGAAAGUAUAACUUUCAUAUUGCUAUAAAAUUUAAAAGCGUAGUCAUGAAAUAUGCAUAAAAAGCAAUGCAUGCCAAUAGAAACAAUAUGCUUUUGUCCAAAUCUCAUAAGCCGCCAAAACUCCAAGAAUAAUCGAUACGAAACUAUCACAUGGAAGAAUGAAUUUCAACAUUAGAGGUAAUUUUUGAAAUAAUACUCAAAAAUGAAAUCACAGCACUAUUUCAUCUCAUAACCAAACGUAAAUGCAUUUUGGACCAACUCUAGGUGACUAAUAAAGAUCAUGCUAUUGUUCGCUAAAGAGGAAGCGCAUGUGGUAAGAGGGUUAGAAACACUCUUAUGCCACUACAAUGCACAUUCUUAAGCACAUAAAGGACUAUCAAUAAAUCAUAAUACUAUACUAAGCCAAUUCGGAGAUUUGGAAAACCAGACGUCGUAAAUUAUCAAGAAUGAAAAACAUAAAGGGAACUCUGAGUACCCUCUCGCGAGACACCAUACGUACCACCAUGGGGCCACACACCACCGCACGAGCCAAGUUGGGUCACCAGAAAGUUGCCAGGAAAAGUCGCCCAGCGGCGGAGCAUAGUACCUCCAAUAGAGGCGCGUAUGGUCCAAGGUUUUGGGCUGGGUAUAAAGGUUGGGCUUGGAUUCGAGUCGGGUUAACCUGGUUUCAGGCCGUGGUGUACGCUUGAAACUCCAGGACGAGCUUCUAGAGCUUUCUUCUUCAGCUUAUUUCUUCACCAUAUCUGUACAACAAAAGCUUAGAUGGAGCACAGGGUAGGAUGCGCGAGAAAAUGCGAAUUUUGUCACUCAUUAAAUACUUUGUUCAUAACACGAAAAAUAAACUCUACCCCUGGGAAAAUUACUCAGCUAUUUCUACACUUAACAAUAUGGUGAUACAAUUAUCAAGCAAGGCCACACCCCAAGGUUUAAGGGACUUAACGUAGGCCACAACAUGUGGAGUUCGUCGGGGGAGGUGUAAACUGUGACUCUAUCACUGUUGGGGUUCCAUGGCUUGGCACAUGGGUUUCAAGGUCUCCACAUCCAAUUGGUGAGGGUUGUGGUUGUUGUUGUUAAGCUUGGGGAGGAGAAGGAAAGGUUGCAUAAAAAAGAGAGCUCGGGUGAGAACUUAAGGGAAAGAGAGAAAGUGAAGGGGAAAGAGAGAAGGAUAAGGAAAUCAGAAAAAGAGGAGAGAAUCCGGAUAGGGAUAGGGAUAAAGGGAGAAGAAUCCCCAUGUAGGUUCCACGGUUCACAAUUUAAGAUCGCAUAAUACGAAACACAAAAUAUCCGAAAACAUUCAACGUUUCAAACGUAAAAUCUUCGUUACAUAUCCAAUUUUGAAUCCAUUCACGUCUAAGUGUUUGUGGCGAUGAGUACGAUAAGAAUAAAUUAUUAAAAUUAGAACUAUGCAUUUUGACGAGGCAGUCAGCGAAAGUCAAUUCACGUGGAAUGGGAGGAAGUGGAGAGGAUAUAUAGGCAACAAAAGUUUCUAUCGCUGCCCAACCAUAACCCUAACUCAGCCUAAAACUAAAAGGAUGAUGAAAUGACAAUUGUAGCCUCACAUGUGAGGGCCACGUACAACCUAUUAGUAGAAGAAUUAACAUAACUUUCAAUUUUGGCCUUGAAUCCUAACGGAUCUCAUAACAAGGGUUUAAUUCCUUUAUUUAUUUAUUUAUUAUUUUAAACUUCUUCAGAAUAUCGUUAGAGGCUAAGAAGCAGAUGAAGCCUUGAAGCACCGCUGACAGCCCAAGUCCAAAGCCCGAAUACAUGCAAAAGUGCGGAAUCAAGGAAGGAAUAUGUUCGCAAUCAUGCCACGCUACAGUAAUUAAGCCAUGAAUUUAUGUAAAUCACACCAUGCCCAUGCCUAUGCCUAUUUAUCACACCAAGUUCUAUCAUGCUAACUACAACUCAUGCUAAAAUAAACCCAAGUCAUAUACUAGGGGUUUGCCAAGUUGUGGAUGGUUAUGGAAGUUUAUCGGGCCUACGUGGAGUCAAGAUUAUGAAAGGCUUUUGCUUGCUUGGGAGCCCAAAGAUCCAAGCUCAUAACCUUUGCAAUCCACAAGGGCAAGUUUAAGAGAGAAUCAACUUAGUUUCCCCCUUUCCCUAGAAAUUAACUUUACCAACUUAGUUAGGAGUGAACCAAGUCCUUAAGUCAUAGAAUCACAUGAGGAGCCAACAAAGCAUGCAUUAAUGGCUGACUUUCCUAUCCUAGUUCAUGCAAAAGAUCAACGCGCAAAAGCCAUGCGUCGUACUACCAAAAAUAGCAUUUGUGAAAGGCUAACAUGAGAAAGCAGCGCCUUGGGAAGAAGGCAUGAUGCAAGUUGCAUAAGGUGGCAUCUAGCCAUCUUACACCAAAACGGACGUGGCUGGAGAAUUAGGGAAAAAUGGAAGAAAGGACCAAGCCACAAUUAGAGAUUCCUUAGGAACCCUAGAAAGGAAUCGUUUACCUAGAAAAAUAAAUCAGAAGCCAUUAGAAGAGGCUAGAACAUCAUAACAAAAAACCUUAAAGCUUAGAAAGCAACACCCCUGCAACCUCAAUAUUUUUCCAUAGCUUUUCCUCUGAGUAUUCUAUCCAUCAGAAACCUUGUUACCACCCUAGGAAACCCGAAUUAUCCAACCUAAAACACCAUACAACCAUGCAAACUCUCUCUCUUUCAUGCUAAACUGAUAAACUUCUAGCUUCCACAACAUACAUAACUUGAGCAAUUAAGCUAUUAUUUUCUUAAUCAUGCUAAUCUUUGAGUCAUUGAUCUAACCGGGAUAUUUUCUAAACGAGCUAACUUUUUCGAGAGAUUCCAGGACUUGGUAUGAAACCGAACGAAGGGAGACGAGAGAAAGUUCUCAAAGGCGACGUCCACCUUGAUCUAAAAGUCCCCCAACAAUCCUAUUAUCAUGAGGACUAUUAAUCUGAUUUGGCCAAAUAUAUGUGUACAAAGAGAGUUAAGGUAUAAAGACAAUUGAAAUAGGAUAUGAGUCAUAACAAAAAUACUACUAUAUAAUACAAUUCUAAAUAUCAUGAAAGAUAACUCGAUCAGUGCUUCCAUUUUAAUUGGUGCAUAGAUCUCACGCAUGUCCACUUGUUAAGCAGGUUGUAGAACAGUCUACUCUAGCCCUCCUUAGUAAGUGCAUCUGACAAUUGAUAUUCGAAUUUGUAAAACAGAGUUGGUGAAGUGGUAUCUCAAAUUUGACGAGAUAGUAACCUGAUUCGAUUUUGAAGAAAAUUAGGUAGAUUAGUGCUUUUUCUUUAAUAUUUUUUUUUAAUUUUAUAAUUAAUGGGAAGAGGAAGGGUUCGAGACUCUUAUAAUAAUUCUGGAAAAGAGGAAAUUUCGAACCCGAGACGUAUAAGUAAAAACUCAACACUCUAUCACUAAAAUAUUGGACCACAAGCAAGUAGAUUUAUGUACUUACUUAAAGCUCAGAGUUGAGCUAAGACCAUACUUAUCUUGACCUAUUGUUGUGAGUAUGUUAAGAUUAUUUCAAUUAAACCAAAGUGUGCAUAAUAAUUGGGUUGCUGGCAAAAAGUUAAAGAGGUGUCUGCGAAGAACAAAAAUUGCAUGCUUGACUAACAUGCUUAUAUUUUCUCUACUCGUUUGGGAAUAGACUUUGGGAGGUAAUACCAUUUUUAAAACUCAAACUCAAUUAAUAGUACUUUGCUUCUUGUUAAACUCAUUUAAGGAUCAUACUCCUUUAUGGAAACCAUUAGAAAGAGAGAUUAUACUCAUUAUGUUCACCAUCAUGUGAUGAGAAAUGUAAAUACAAGAAAAUAAUCUUAGGAUGCAUGUUAUCUAAUUUGGAACACAGUUAGAAAAUAAAGGAUUUGACUAUAAUACUUUCAUGUAUUCAAUAGAAUCACUAUUUUAUUAAUAAGAUGAUUGUAUUAAAUAUAUAUGUUCACAUAAAUUAUAUAUGCUCGUUGGAUGAUAAUUUUAUUGAAUACAUACAAAUAUUGUAACCGACUUAUUUGAAAACAUUCUAGAGUCAUUUUAUAUUAGAGUGAAUAAGUCAUUUAAUUUAUUAAAAAAAAAAAAAGAGAUGUAUUCAACAAAAUGUAGAGUGUCACUAAAAGAAGUAUGAGCUGAAAGCCCACAUCUUCAACAUAGGGCUAUGGCCCUGCUUCAGUUCACAACUGCACAUGAGAGGCAAAAGCCUCUACAAAGUAAAGGGUUUACGCGGUGGUCGAGAUUUCGGCCAUGGUGGUCGAGAUGAGGGAUACGCCGCCGCCGCCGCCUUCGGAAUCCAUCCUUCAGGGAAGUUCAGUAGGUCCAGACAGAUUUCUCUCGAUAUAUAACCAAAACAAAGAUCGCCAAUAUAAAGCGUCGAAAACUAGUUCAAUGCUUCCACCCAUGACCCUCAAGUGGCUGCUUCUUAUUGCAGCAACGAUGAGGUUUGAUUCAACCCGACAUGACGGACGUUAUCAUACGUUCAUCAUUGCAUAUUCUAAUAUGCAAUGAGCCUCGUAUUUUAAUGUUGCAAAACAAAAGACUACUAGCAAAACAGAUAAUAGACUAAAACCCUGAAACUACAAAAUCCUAGUGUCUAUCUCCGCACGCGCGAGAGGCCUUUUUUUUCGUUUUUUAUCUUAUGACAGGAUGACACUUUGAUAUAACGUCUGCCAAUAUACAACUGAGGGGAAAUGAGACAAGAAUCAUAAAACUUGAUACAUAAAUGAAGGUUAAACUACAUUUAAAGUUACAAAAUUCAUGGUCUUAGCAAGCAGCUUCAAAGUCACAUAAAAUCACACUUAAGGAAACAUCCAUAUGUUAACAAAAACAAAUCACUGUACCUGAAAAUCAUCACUUGAAACCACAGUAAGGAAAAAAGUCGGGGCUCCCACGCAUAAUUAGAGAUGAAUCCAUAAAACAAGUGAAUUGCACACACCACCUCGAAGCUCUAAUAACUCGAGGAUAAAACAUCCUACACCCUG
rnacentral:lncRNA from 1 species